rnacentral:lncRNA from 1 species
CCACACAAGCUGCCCAACAUUUUACAUGAGGAGUACACACACAAAAAUCUUGGAAAUAUGUAAAAAUAUAAACCCGUUACAAACUGGUCAACGGAAGAUACUUCACCAUAGAUCUUACUCAGCGAGGUUGCAUACAUCGAAAUCAUAUUCAGAUCUUCACGCCGUCGAUGGCUAGUGUCCCAGUGGCAUAAGUGUCAUGGUAUUUUUCUAUGUAGUCGUUGAGCUUGAUCUUCAUGUAUCGUGCAUGUCUCUUGUCAUCCACUAGCUCUAACACCGGCUCAAGUUGUGUCUCUAGCUCCAACGUAUACACCAACACCAACGACAAGCGCUCUUUCUCCGCGUUGGUGACAACCCUAUGCACGAGGCUCUUAAAAAACCCAUUGCUCAAAAUCUACAUGCAUAAGGAUGAAAUAGAGAGAUAUGUAUUACAUCUUAUCUAGACAAUCCAAAAACAAGGUCAAACAAUUAUACAUCAAUACAUGUAGCUGCCUACAAACACAUUACCUCCAUUACGUCCCCUAUGUUUAUAACCAGUGCAUUCGAAAUGAUGGGCACGUUGUACCAGACGCCGUUUUUCUCAAGCUGGAGCCCCUCAACGUCGGUGAAGUUGACGGUGAUUAUUGAGCCGUCGGUAUGGGCCUUGAGGCCCAAGACGUGGUCUGGCCUUGGACACUGAGGGUAGUAGUUGAAUAUAGCUUGGGUGAUGGAGUUGUCGCGGAUCAUGUUUACGAGGUGUUCCUCUUGUAAAUUGAACAUCUUGGCCAUGUUUUGAAGGACAAUGUUGGUCGCCGCUUUGCACCUGACCGUGUACUCACACAGGACCUCUCUGCACAGUUAUGGAUGUCGUGUUAAGACAAUUGUACCAUAUACUAGUAAUCAACUGUCGGAGUAUCAGUUUGAAAAUGGAUGUCGCUUUAUGCAUGCAUGAUAGCAGAAUCUCCAGCAGCAUGUACCAUGUAUAGAUGGUAAAAACUUACCCACAACCUUUUGGAGAGCAGAGCAGAGCAAGGCAAUAAUGGAGGGUGGUGCCCGUUUUGUAAUUGCUGGCUCAUGGUCUGCUGCUACCUACCACGCCUUGCUGCUAGUACCUACAAAUAAUGGAGGCUACUUCUGGAGAGUAAUGAAGACCACUAAAAGCAUAGUUAAUAGUAUAACCAACUGCUGGCUAUAAGCAGUCUUAUAACCCAUCUUAUAGCUAGCUUGUACAAUAGUUAGGUGUAAAAGAGUACUAAUUUUAUCAUAUAUGGUCCACCUUUCAUUUUCACAAAACACCUAGGAGCACGUGCUAGAGCUGGCUCUUCAUGAAGAGCCCGUUUCCCUUCUCUCUCCUCUUCUCUCUCAUCCAACUUAGCAAAAUAUAGUAUUUUAAUCCUUACAGCCUGCUGACUGUACCUUAUUGUACUUGCUCUAAAGGUCCGACUCUGACUUGCUGCCUCUACAGUGUGUGAGCGUGAGUGACCAGAAACCGAGAAAUAUGGAAAACUGUUUUUUGAAAAAGGAGAUUAACCCCGGCCUAUGUAACAAUCGAUGUAUACAACCAUCUUUACAGCAACUUCGACGGGACGAUCUAAACGGACGCGUGCUUUGUCCGCUUUGUAGUAAUUAACCUAGUUAUAGUCUAAAACGUGCACGUGCAAACCGAGUAGGAUUAGUAUUGCAAACCGAGUAGGACUUGUAGUUGGCUAGGUUAGGUACUAUCUAUACCUACCUAAUAAUAAAGCAGCUAUUGCUUCCGUCGAAAAACCCACCGCGGCAUUUUUAUAAAAAGCCCCUGCUACUAUUAAAAGAAACAAUUAUUCUUAGUCUCGCUUGCAAAAUAUAUUUUUAUUUCCACGUACAAAAUAAUUGUUCGAUCCUGCACGCAACGAAACAAAUCUUAGUCGGACACGCUCGCGUUCGUGCGUAGCACAUGUACGCUGGCCUAUACUAGGCCAUGUACUGCGCCUGCUGUGCGGUUACUUUGCCUAUAUGGGCCUUCUCUUAUGGACAUAAAUAAGUAACCGAAGAGUCACGUUGGGUAUAUUUCUGAUAGCUUGGUGUAUCAAGCAUGCAUGCAUGUUUCUAAAAAGAAAUAAAAUCAAGCAUGCAUGCAUGACCAACCAAAGAAGAUGAAAUUGACUAUUUGUGAAAGAGGCCAAUUAUCUAUGAUGGGAUGCAUCGUAUACCAGUAAACUAAACUACGAACAAAAAGAUUGCUUCGAUGGCCUAGAUUAGUUCAUCUUGAUUUCUUCCACUCACGUACGAUAGUGUGCAUCUGGAUGUGUAGCCUAAAUAAACAUGUUUGCCUACUUAAGUGUGUUUGCAUUCAUUUGUGAUUGUCAGUUCAUUAAUAAUAUAAGUUCAUAAGACAUAAAUUUGAAUUGUUUGGAAUACAUGUACUCAAUAUUCUUUCAUGCUUUUAUUUCCUGAUUUGUUCAUGAAAUACACAUCGAGUUAGUGUAUACUCCCUCUGUAACUAAGCAUACAGAACAUAUUGAAGUUUUGCUCAAAGAGAGAAAGAGAGACCUUAGAACUGAACACAUUUGAACACAUUAUCGUUGUAUGAGUGUUGAGGCCACUGUCGUCAACACAAAUAUGAUUCCAUGUGAAACUAAAAGACGUGGGACUAUUAAGGUUUUGAGUCAUGGUUAUUGGGUUAAAAACGUGUGUUAUUUUUUCCGUUGCAACGCACGGGUUUUUUGCUAGUAUAAUCCUAUGUAUCCCUUGUAACAGAUCAGAUCAAUCAAAGCAAUAAACAAAACAUGUGCGACACGCACACGAUUUGGCAAACAACUCGCGUCAGGUGUUUUCUCCUCGCGUGUGUUCCGGCGACUUAGUACGUAGGUGUGUACGUACUUGUCCGGCUCGCCGAUCACGUUUGUCUCCAAGCCAAGAAUCGAUCCACGUCUGCGACUCCCACGGAAAGUGCUCGUUUACGAGCAGUGUGACGUAUAUCGGGAUCAAGUGCCAACAAUUGGUAUCUAGAGUCUCGACGAUCUACGAUCUACGAUGACGGACAGCGACGCUGAGUCGGUCAAGUCCGGUAAAGACGGUGCCAAGACGAACAUGAACAGCGACAAGGUGAAAAAUGACGGCAAGUCAGCAACCAGUGGUGAAGGGAUGGACGACGCCAACGUUCAGGCGCAUCGCAACAUCUUCUUCCAGUACUCUCUUAGGAAAGACAAACUGCUCUAGAAAAAGAGCUAGACAAAGACACUCUCCAACUUUCCCCUGGGAAGACUAGUAAUGUCACGUGAGAUUAUGCAAAACCCGUUUCUGUAUAUGGGCUUCGCAUUUUUUGGAACUGACAAUCCAUGCAGUUGUUAUAAGGGCGACACUUGAUUUUCCUGUCCUGGUUUUCUAAACGGAUCGAAAACCGGGUUAAUGUAAAACCCGUUUUUCUGCGGUGCGUUUAAGCUAACGCUGAGAAUAUAUAUACAUUCAGGCAACAAACACACAUUCGGGCUAACGUACAUACACAUGUCAGCUUCUAAUUGACUGAAAAAACGACUCAAAGCCAUUUGAAUUUUAGUCGAAUGUCAAAUAAACUCUUUGGAUCUAGUGUUGUACAGGAUUUAUCCCAAUAACCAUAUUUAUUGUAUUAAAGGGACUUGCCUGUGUGUCAGGGAUUGGGUUGUUAAUUUAGGCCUGCAAGGUUUAUCUGACUAAAAUUCUUUAAUUAUCUGGCAGUCAUCUGUUUGUUCCAAGUCCAGAGGGAUAGCUGACUCUAGAAUAGGACCUACAACCCAUUGAACCUUGGAAUUUUAGUAGUUUAGCAUCAUACCUGACCUAUUGCCCAAGCAGCUCUAACUCUAGUAUUAGAUUCACCGAGAGGAAGAAUACUGCUUUAGGUGAUUAGUUGGUCAUUAGCUACUUAUAUGCCAGAUAUUUUUAUUCUUUCUGUCAAAUCAGCAAAUGCAGAAUACCGUUAGUUAGAUAUGCAAUGAUAAUUUAACUGCACUUUGUAGCUUCGGCCUUUGGGCUUGUCAAAAGCAGAAAUUGGCUACUGUAGGAGUGCUUAUGCUAAAUUGCACGCUGCGACUGCAGAGCAACUAUAUCAGCUUAACCGAUCUUUCAGAACAUUGCUCAAGUUCUGAAUAUCUACAAUCCCUGGACUAACAAUAUGAUUGAUUUAAUUUCAUGUUCAGAAAGAGUGCAAAAUAGCAAAUGUGCAUGUGUAUGGGGCAUUACUGCUCUCUGGUCUCCAUGUCGAUGCAAUGAACCAAGGUUGUACUCCCUCCGUUCCUAAAUAUAAGACCUUUUAGAGAUUCCACUAUAAACUACAUACGGAUGUAUGUAGUCAUAUUUUAGGAUGUAGAUUCACUCAUUUUGCUCCGUAUCUAGUCUAUAAUAAAAUCUCUAAAAGGUCUUAUAUUAAGGAACGGAGGGAGUACAUGUUAAAAGAAAGAACAAUGGACAGACAGUGCGAAAGGCACUGCUGAAAAUACAGAACAACUAUAUACCAUGAUGGGUUUUUCUUUCAGUCUAGAACAGAAUGAUGAAGGUUCUUGUAGCGCUCUUGUCGGCUCAUGGCAGCUGGGCUGAUAUGUCUUCUGUUGUCACUGUCCUGCCUGUGCACCAGGCUAUACACUGAACAAGUGAAACAUGCUAAACUUGUUGAAAUUGGUAGUGGACUUUAGGCCCAUUAGAGAAUUUCAGAAAAAUCUUUAAGGGCCCAUGUAUGUGGUGGCAUGACAAGGUGGUGGGAAGUUUAGUCGUACCCCGCUAGUGGAGGAGAAGUUGGACCCCUUUAUAAGGAUCUCUCUUCCACAUGCUAUUGGAGAGUGAGAAGAGAAGGUGUCCUCGCGCACUCCUCCUCCGCCGCCCACCUCGCCACGCCUCGUCACGACGCACCGCAGGUUGCGGGAAUGAGCCGAGCCGAGCUCAUACCUACGCGUUUAUUUUUGCCGGUCAGAAACGGGGAAUACAUAACGGACACGGCACGAUCCGAGACGUCGGAUCGUGGGCUGUUACCGACUCGGACGUGGGUUCGGCCCACGUCUCUCCACCCAGCCGCCUUUAUAAGCAGGCUGUCGCCUACCCUAGCCGUCACGAGAAUCAGAUCACAUCUGCCUCACGCGUUCGUUCCUUUUACUGCUGCUGCCGCCGGCGACUCCGUCCCGUUUACCGCGUACACGGUCGACGGGAGAGCAGGCCUCCGAAACCCCGCCUCUCCGGUUCCUGUACGGGAGAGGGGCAAUUAGGUUUUUGGGGAGCGAUCACGCGACUGCUCUCCUCCGUCCGUCUGCUUCGUCUACGUCCGCGUCGCCCUCGUCAUCGUCAUGUCUUCACCAAGCGAAGCUGACCGUCUCGUCCGCGAGAAAGCCGAAGCCAAGAAGAAGGUGGCAGAGGAUGCUGCCGCCGCCACCGCUGCUGCUACGGCCAAUUGGCCGAUCGGAGGGUAUGAUAUAUUUAUCCCUCUCCUGUUUCUGUCUGCAAUAGUAGUACUGCCUAUAUGCGUAGAUGUUUCUGCUAUAUGCGUAGUACUUGCUAGUAUACUCCGUGAUCAGUAUGUCAUGAACCUAGUCAAUGCUAUGUUAGUAAUUAUUUCAUGGAUUAAUCUACUCGGAAAAUUGCCUAUUUACUCAACAAUCCAAAAACCUAAUAUGUGUAGGAAUUUUUUGAGUAAUGGUUUUGUUGUUGCACUGAAACCGGAUAAGUUUACCGGUACUUUUUUCAAGCGUUGGCAAACGAGAACCACCUUAUGACUCACGGCUAUGAAUGUGUUCUGGGUAGCCGGUGUCACUCCUACGGAAACUAUCACUCCUGAACAGGAGAAGAUGUUUAAGGAGGCCACCCUCCUAUUCCUUGGAGUAGUCAUUAGCGUGAUCGGAGAUAAGUUGGUUGAUGCAUAUUUACAUAUGCAUGUUGCCAAGGACUUGUGGGAGGCGCUCGAAUCUAAAUUCGGGGCCACCGAUGCUGGGAGUGAGAUGUAUGUUAUGGAGCAGUUCCACGAUUACAAGAUGGUUGACAACCGUUCUGUAUUGGAACAGGCUCAUGAGAUAAUAUGCAUAGCUAAAGAACUUGAGGUUCUUAAGUGCAAUUUGCCGGGCAAGUUUGUCGCGGGCUGUAUAAUUGCUAAGCUCCCUACUUCCUGGAGGAACUUUGCUACUACUCUGAAACAUCAGAGGCGUGAGUUCUCAGUAGAGGACAUCAUCGGCCAUCUGAGUGUUGAGUAGAACUCGAGAGCAAAGGACUCCAAUGGAAAAGCGGUGGAAAGCUCUUCUGCUGCCAAUAUGGUACAUCAGAGGAACCUCAAUUCCCACAAGCCCAAGGGAAAGAAUUCUGUCCAACAGAAUACCAACUUCAAGAAGAAGGGAAAGAAGCCCUUCAAGAAGAAUAAGAAGGGAGAUGGCUGCUAUACUUGUGGUUCAGAGGAACAUUGGGCGAACAAGUGCCCAAACAAGUACAAGAAGCCGGCGCAGGACUCCAAGUCUGCCAAUAUGAUUGUGGGCAACAAUGAAAGUGCUGCAUCUGGGUACGAUAAUUUACUUGCUGUAUUUACAGUUUGUCAGUCCACCGAUUGGUGGGUGGACACGGGUGCAAAUAUUCAUGUGUCCGUAUUGAUGGGGAAUGGCGCGAGUGCUUCUGUUCUUGGUGUUGGCACGGUCGAUCUGAAGUUUACUUCAGGAAGGAUCGUGCAGCUGAAGAACGUGCAGCAUGUCCCCGCCAUCAAGAAGAAUCUCGUUAGUGGCUCCCUUCUGUGUAGAGAAGGGUUUAAGUUGGUAUUCGAGUCUAAUAAAGUAUUAGUUACGAAAUAUGGACUUUUCGUUGGAAAAGGUUAUGAAUGCGGAGGUCUGUUCCGCCUUUCUCUUGCAGAUUUUUGUAAUAAAGUCGUGAACAAUAUUCAUUUGAGUGUUAAUGAAUCUGAAGUUUGGCAUUCACGUCUUUGUCACAUAAGUUUCGGUGUUAUGUCGCGGCUAGCAAAACUGAAUUUAAUCCCAACUUUCACUUUAGCCAAAGGUUCUAAGUGUCAUUCGUGUGUGCAAGCAAAGCAACCUCGCAAGCCUCACAAGGCUACAGAGGAGAGACACUUGGCACCAUUAGAACUCAUACAUUCUGAUCUUUGUGAGAUGAAUGGUGUGUUGACUAAAGGUGGAAAGAAAUAUUUCAUGACAUUGAUAGAUGAUUCCACUAGAUAUUGCUAUGUGUAUCUGUUAAAUACUAAAGAUGAGGCUCUACACUACUUUAAAAUCUAUAAGGCAGAAGUUGAGAAUCAACUUGAAAAGAAAAUUAAACGAGUCCGGUCUGAUCGUGGUGGAGAGUACUUCUCAAACGAAUUUGAUUCAUUUUGUGUGGAACAUGACAUUAUUCAUGAGAGGACGCCUCCCUAUUCACCCCAGUCAAAUGGGGUUGCCGAGCGGAAAAACCGUACUCUAACUGAUUUGGUUAACGCCAUGUUAGAUACAUCGGGUUUAUCCAAGGCAUGGUGGGGGGAGGCUAUAUUGACUGCGUGUCAUGUCCUGAAUAAAGUUCCUACAAAAGAUAAUGAGGUCACUCCCUACGAGGAGUGGUCGAAGAGAAGGACGACGCUCUCGUACUUACGUACUUGGGGCUGCUUGGCGAAAGUCAAUGUACCGAUCCCCAAGAAGCGUAAGCUUGGACCAAAGACUGUGGACCGCGUUAAUUUGGGAUACGCUAAGAAUAGCGUAGGCUAUAGAUUUCUAGUAGUGAAAUCUGAGGUACCUGACGUGAAGGUCGGUACAAUAAUGGAGUCGAGGGAUGCUACAUUCUUUGAGGAUAUAUUUCCCAUGAGAGAUAUGCAAAGCACUUCUAGACAGGAAUAUGAGAUAACUCCUGAGCCUGCCAUUCCUAUGGAAUAUUAUGAACAAACACAUGAUGAUAAUCCCGAGGAGGAUAACGAGGAAACCCUUGGUAGGGGCAAGAGACAAAGGACCGCAAAGACCUUUGGUAGUGAUUUCUUCGUAUACCUCGUGGAUGAUAAUCCCACUUCUAUUUCAGAAGCGUAUGCUUCUCCAGAUGCUGAUUACUGGAAAGCUGCGGUCCGUAGCGAGAUGGAUUCCAUCAUGGCUAACGGGACAUGGGAAAUCACUGAUCGUCCCUAUGGUUGAAAACCAUUGGGAUGCAAGUGGGUGUUCAAAAGAAGCUUAGGCCCGAUGGAACGAUUGAAAAGUACAAGGCUAGGCUUGUGGCCAAGGGCUAUGCCCAGAAAGAAGAAGAAGAUUUCUUUGAUACUUACUCACCUGUGGCUAGACUGAUCACCAUUCGAGUACUACUCUCAUUGGCGGCCUCUCAUGGUCUUCUCGUUCAUCAAAUGGACGUUAAGACGGCUUUCCUGAAUGGAGAGUGAUGGGGUUAUAGUCCUAGGGUAGGGUCAUAGGCCUGCCCUAUAAGUCCUACCCAAGGACUAUCCUUCAUAAGGGAUAAGGCCCUUAGUCAGUUCCGACUGAAUUAAGGACUUCCCAUCAUCUAGUCGGUGACGAAUCCUCCAUCAUCCAGUCGGAUAUGAGCAUUCAGAGUGUAUCAAAUUAACCGACUGGAUUCCACUCUGUGCAUCGUAACCCCCUGGAGGGAAACGGUCAUACGUUUCCAUGUGCCUUUAUUAGCAUUUAAGACAUACGUUACCUGUAACGUAGGCAUUUAUUCGCCACUACUCCACUCCUGUGCACCGAACCGUUGUGAAGGGCAGCGCACUCUAUAUAAGCCACCCUUCCCCACUGGUGCAAGGGUUAGCAAUUCACUGUAAUCCAUAUUCCACUCGACAACAAGCUCCCAGAGCACUGAGACGUAGGGCUAUUACCUCCACCGUAGAGGGGCCUGAACUCCUACAACCUCGCCGUAGCUAAGGCUCUGCCCAUCCUUUCGUACCCUACACAUCUACUGUCAGACUUAUACCCACGACAGCUGGCGCCCACCUUGGGGCAGGCGUCUAAGCGACUUCCGGCGAGUUUGCGACUACAUCUUUUCGUCAUGUCAUCCGGUGGAGAUUUGAGCAUGGGUCACGAGAUCCUCUUCGGCGCUCUCUCCUUCAUCGUCGACGAUUCGGCAUGGCUUCGGGACGCCCCUCUCGAUGUCGAGGCGCUCCCCAUCGCGGGGCUACGCACUUCCGUACCGGCGCCCGCGGUAUUCUUCUUCUCCAGCAGUCGGCUCCGGUGUCGACCUACACCGCCGUCACGCGCCGCAACAAGCGGUCCCGCCGUCCGUGGCUCUAGCGUUGGGUGCAACACGCCCAGGCGCGCCAGAACGCGUCUUCACAAGUGGCGGUCCUAGUGUCGGUUGUGGUUGCCCUGCCGUCCCAGCGCUCGGACUCGGUUCCGAUUGAGUUUCCUUCCGAGUACUUGGGUCGCGGGCCUACAGCAGAAGUGCACAUGGCCAACUCCCAUGAAAGUCCCCGCCAAACUGGCCGGAACGAGCACGAGAUCGGUGAAACAUCCGGCGCUCGCCGUCCGCCUCGCCGUUCUGCCAGUCGGCACACUCGGCGGAGCAACGUGGAGGUGUUCCGCACACCCAUCCUCAACCUGGCUGCCGCUGCCAAGAUAGCCGAUUCCCUUCAGCCGACUGAUUCAGAGGCUGGCAGGGGGAUCGAGCAAAUCCGCGCCCUACUGCACACGGCGCAGCAACAAAAUUCGGCGGUCUCCGAGUCGCACAACAGGAUCCACAAUAGUUUUGUUCAUGCGAACACGCAUCGGUCAGUUCACAACCCUGGUUCUCAUCAGCGACACAGGGGAGGCAGCCGUUCCAUAAAUCCCGAAGAUCGUCGCCGUUCACGCACCCCUCCGCGGGGUGGGCCCUACGGGCCCCGACAUCAUGAUGAUCGACAUUCAGUCGGUGACACUUACGAUCCUAGGCCUGACACGAGAGGGCAUAUCGCCCAGCGGAGGGUCGACAGGGGCCGAGCCCACCGCGAUGGUCACGAUAUGGACCGUCCGAGUGGAAGCAGGACCAUCGUUUCUGGUCCCGAGUGUUUCAGUCGAGCCAUCCGUUCGGCUGACAUCCCUCCCAACUUCCGAUUGGCGACGGGGAUCAGCAAGUUUACAGGAGAAUCCAAGCCAGAAACGUGGCUGGACGACUACCAAGUGGUAGUCCAGAUCGGAGGAGGGGACGACCACAUCGCCAUGAAGCAUCUCCCUCUGAUGCUCGAUGGCUCGACACGAGCGUGGCUGAACCAGUUGGCCCCCUCAAGCAUCUACAGCUGGGCAGAUCUGGCCCGAGUCUUCAUCAGGACCUUCGAAGGGACGUGCAAACGCCCUGCUGGCCUCGUGGAGCUCCAACAUUGUGUCCAGAAGCAGAAUGAGCCCCUGCGCGAUUUCAUUCAGCGUUGGACGACCCUCUACCACACGGUGGAGAACGUCACAGAGCACCAAGCAGUCUGCGCCUUCAAGGCAGGCGUGCGGUACAGAGAUUUGUACCUGAAGUUCGGUCGAACAGGCGACAUCUCCAUGAGCAAGAUGAUGGAGAUAGCGGCACGCUAUGCAAACAGUGAAGAAGAGGACCGCAUCCGUAGCGGCAAGCACAAAGCAGUGGCCGAUGGGGAUGGGAAUAACACUUGGAAGCAGAAGCAGAAAGCUCCGUCCACUCCGCAGGCAGAAGCCGCAACUGUUACCAAUGCCAAGUUCAAAGGCAAAGGGAAGGCUCAGUUCACCCCAAGAAGAAGCAGUUCAGUAACCCCAUCCUGGACCAGCCAUGCCCGAUUCACACGAAGAUGGAUGAAGAGGGCAACACCAUAUAUCCGAAGCAUACCGCUCGGCAAUGUCGCCUCCUGAUCUAGGGGUUUGGCGAAGGGCAACCGAGUGAAAAGGGCAAUGAACAGGAUGAGGAGGACAAGGAGGAUCCGUUCCUCCAAGUCCAUGCAACACUUAUGAUUUUUGCUGAUGUUGAGAGCAAGAGUCGACUGAAGCUGGUGAACAGGGAGGUGAACAUGGCCACGCCUACCAACCCCAAGUUCUUCAAAUGGUCUCAGACUGCGAUCACCUUUGACCAGUCGGAUCAUCCAGCACACGUACACACCCCAGGGAGACAGGCUCUGGUCGUCGACCCGGUGGUAGAAGGAGUCCGACCGCGGAAAGUCCUCAUGGACAGCGGCAGUGGCUUGAACAUCAUGUACGCCGACACUCUCAAGGGGAUGGGCAUUCCGAUGUCCAAACUCAGCGAGAGCAGCAUGCAGUUCCAUGGAGUCGUCCCUGGACGAAAGGCCAAGUCACUCGGCCAGAUCGCGUUGGACGUCGUUUUCGGCUCCGACAAGAACUUGCGCAAGGAAAAGCUGACGUUCGAGGUGGUGGACUUCCAGAGCGCGUACCACGCAAUUCUGGGCCGCCCGGCGUAUGCGUGUUUCAUGGCCCGUCCAUGUUACGUGUACCUGAAGCUGAAGAUGCCAGGCCCGAAAGGUGUGAUCACUAUCACAUGCAAUCGAUAGUGAGCCGAGGAGUGUCUACAGCAGGGAUCAAGGAUCGCCGAUCAGCAGAUGGCUGUCUUCGAGCUUGACGAAUACAAGAAAACAGUCGACCCCGCUGACUUGAUGCGUGCGAAGAAGCCAGCUUCGGAGUCCGCAUUCCAGUCGGCGGGAGAGACGAAGAAGGUCAGCAUCCACCCGACGGACGACACCGCUGCCCCAACGAACAUCUCCACCACCCUCGAUCCUAAAUAGGAAGCCGAGCUCAUCCAAUUCCUUCGUGAGAACUGGGAUAUCUUCGCAUGGAAGCCCUCUGACAUGCCAGGUGUACCCAGGGAGUUGGCUGAGCACCGACUGUAUGUGGAUCCCGCCGCUCGGCCUGUUCGAGAACGCCUGCGUUGGUCCGCCGUGCACAAGAGGAAGGCAAUCGGAGAAGAGGUGGCCAAGCUUUUGGCAGCCAACUUCAUUCGCGAGGUACACCACUCCGAGUGGCUCGCCAAUGUUGUCAUGGUGCCCAAGAAGGACAAGUCGCUCCGAAUGUGCAUCGACUUCAAGCAUCUCAAUAAGGUCUGCCCGAAAGACCAUUUUCCGCUCCCCGCAUCGAUCAAAUUGUCGAUUCGACUGCGGGUUGCAAGCGUUUGUCAUUUCUUGAUGCCUACUCGGGCUAUCAUCAGAUCCGUCUGUAUGGCCCCGAUGAAUUAAAAACCGCCUUCAUCACCCCAUUCGGGUGCUUCUACUACAUCACUAUGCCAUUUGGUUUGAAGAAUGCAGGAGCAACCUUUAUGCGCAUGAUCCAAAAAUGCCUCCUCGACCAGAUCGGUUGGAAUGUGGAGGCGUAUAUGGAUGAUAUCGUAGUCAAGUCACGCAAAGGUUCCGACCUGCUGACUGACUUGGCAGAAACAUUCGCCAACCUUCGUAGGUACGAUAUCAAGCUCAACCCAGCCAAGUGCUCAUUCGGUGUUCCCAGCGGAAAGUUACUCGGUUUCUUCGUUUCCGAACGAGGGAUCGACGUCAACCCCGAAAAGAUCGAGACCAUCGUCCGAAUGGAGCGGCCGGUCAGAAUACACGAUGUUCAAAGGCUCACAGGUUGGCUAGUGGCUUUGAGCAGGUUUAUCAGUCGACUCGGCGAGAAGGCACUUCUCUGUACCAACUCAUGAAAAAUCAGAUACUUUCGAGUGGACAGACGAAGCCCAAGUCGCAUUCGAUGACCUCAAAGUCCUACUUUCCACCCAGCCGGUUCUUACUGCUCCGCCCAGUAAAGAGCCCCUUCUUCUGUACAUCGCGGCUACAAAUCAAGUCGUCAGCACUGUUCUCACAGUCGAACGAGAAGAAGAAGGCAAAGCAUACAAAGUUCAGCGGCCAGUGUAUUACGUCUCCGAAGUCCUGACUCCUUCCAAGCAGAGGUAUCCCCACUAUCAAAAACUUAUCUACGGGAUUUACAUGACUGCGAAGAAGGUGGCUCAUUAUUUCCAAGACCACUCGGUGUCCGUCGUUUCUGAUGCUCCGUUGUCGGAAAUCCUCCACAAUCGGGACGCAUCGGGCCGAGUGGCGAAGUGGGCAAUGGAGAUGUUGUACUGCGACAUCAAGUUCGAGGCCAAGAAAGGUAUUAAGUCUCAAGCUCUGGCUGACUUCAUAACAGAAUGGGUAGAACAACAGCAACCGACCCACAUCUACUCGGCUCAUUGGACAAUGUUCUUUGAUGGGUCCAAGAUGUUGAAUGGCUCCGGCGCUGGCGUUGUGAUCAUAUCGCCAAAGGGUGACAAACUCAAAUAUGUGUUGCAGAUACACUUUGAUUCCUCCAACAACGAGGCUGAGUAUGAAGCUCUCCUUUACGGACUGCACAUGGCCAUCGCACUCGGCGUCCGUCGCCUGAUGGUCUAUCGCGAUUCGGAUUUGGUGGUUAAUCAAGUGAUGAAGGAGUGGGACGUCAGGAACCCCACCAUGACCACAUACUGCAAUGCAGUGAGGAAGCUUGAGAAAAGUUCGAAGGUCUAGAACUCCACCAUGUUCCGCGACUGAAGAACCAGGCAGCUGAUGAGUUGGCAAAACUCGGAUCCACUCGGGGACCAGUCCCGAGUGACGUCUGCCUCGAGCACCUCCACCUUCCCUCAGUUAAAGAAGAUCUGUUCACAGAGGAACCAGUACAACCAAAGAGCUCAACAGAUCCGACUGAAGUCGACGUACCUGCUGUGGUUGAUUUGAUCAUGGAGAUUCUUGCUGUCAUCCCCGAUUGGACUGUGCCGAUCAUUGCAUAUAUCCUGAGGCAAGAAUUACUAGAAGACAAAGUCCAAGCCAGAUAGAUCGUCCGUAGGUCAAAGUCGUUCACUGUCAUCGACGGCCAGUUGUACAAGGAAAGCGUUUCAGGCGUUCCUCAACGAUGCAUCUCCCCAGAGGAGGGACAGUUAAUCCUGGAGGAAAUUCACUCGGGAACCUGCGGUCAUCACGCCUUUUCAAGAGCAAUCGUCGCCAAAGCAUUCAGAGCUGGCUUCUUCUGGCUGCAGGCAAAUGAAAUGGCGAAAGAUAUGGUCGACCGAUGUGAAGGCUGUCAGUUCUACUCUAACAAGUCCCACAAGCCAACAUCUGCGUUGAAGACAAUCCCUCUUGUUUGGCCGUUUGUGGUAUGCGGAUUGGAUACAGUCGAUCCAUUCAGGACAGGCCAAGGGGGAUUCACACAUCUGUUGGUGGCAGUCGACAAGUUCACAAAGUGGAUCGAAGCCAAGCCCAUCAAGAAGCUCGACGCCCUAACAACCAUCAAGUUUGUCAGGGACAUCAUCUCCAGAUUCGGGGUACCUCACAGCAUAAUCACUGACAACGGAACAAACUUUGACUAGGACAGAUUCAAAGGUUUCUGUACAAGCCAAGGUAUCCGAGUGGAUUUUGCAUCUCUGGCGCAUCCCCAAACAAACGGGCAAGCAGAGCGGGCAAAUGGACUUAUUCUGCAAGGUUUGAAGCCUCGACUCCUGCGAGAGGUGGGACAUGCCGCUCGCGCAUGGGUCACCGAGCUACCUUCGGUGCUUUGGGGUCUCCGCACAACCCCAAAUAGAUCUACAGGGCGAUCCCCGUUCUUCCUCGUUUACGGAGCAGAGGCAGUCCUUCCGAGUGACUUGCUUCACAAUGCUCCACGGGUUGAACUCUUCUCCGAAGCUGAAGCAGAACAAGCAAGGCAAGACGGAGUGGAUCUUCUAGAGGAGGAGCGCGAGAUGGCACUGACUCACUCAACCAUUUAUCAACAAGAUCUGCGGCGUUUUCACGCGCGACACGUCUGGAGUCGUACAUCCCAAGCAGGUGACCUGGUGCUCCGAGUGGAUCAGCAGAGACCUCACAAGUUGGCUCCCGCCUGGGAAGGACCCUUCAUCAUCUCCAAGGUGCUGAACAACAGUGCAUACCGACUCUACAACAUCGACAGGGAAACGGACGAGCCGCGAGCAUGGAACGAAGAUCUUCUGAAGCGCUUCUACACGUGACCGUCGACUGAAGCAAUGUAAAGAACAAGUAUUGGUGAAAUAAUACAAAGCAGAUUGAGUUUUUGCAGAUUCGAAAUUCUUCCGCGGUCGCAGACUCCAGUCUCAAAAAAACUUAGCUGCGAUCACGAAUCGCCUAAGUAUUAACUUUCUCUGAGUGUGCACUUAACAUCGCACUCGGGGACUUAGCUGCGAUCCAGAAUCGCCUAAGUACUAACUUUCUCCGAGUGUGCACUUAAUGUCGCACUCGGGGACUUAGCUGCGAUCCAGAAUCGCCUAAGUACUAACUUUCUUUGAGUGUGCACUUAACGUCGCACUCGGGUCGCUAGCUGCGAUCCAGAAUCGCCUNNNNNNNNNNNNNNNNNNNNNNNNNNNNNNNNNNNNNNNNNNNNNNNNNNNNNNNNNNNNNNNNNNNNNNNNNNNNNNNNNNNNNNNNNNNNNNNNNNNNUUCUACAGGCUCAAACUAGUUUGAGGGUCGGACCUCUAAAAUAUUUACGGGUUUAAGGGUUUAAGAGUUCUAGUCUACGCCGUUUUUCGGACGAAAACCGUAAAAAACAGUUAUUUUAAGGGUUUGGGGUUUGAGGGUUCUACUAGAGAUGCUCUUACGUCUGUUGAUCUAUGAAGCAGACAGCAUCUAGGCUUCCGAGGAAGACUUUGGAAUAUACUCUCUGUUUUCAUUUUGAGGGGGUCUUUGGAAUAUACGCGUGCCUGGUGAAGCACCUCACAGCUUGAUCUUGACGGCUAUGAGCCAAGAGGUUCAACACCUGAGACCAGCCGGGGUUACCGUCCGUUUUAUAACUCCGUUCUUCUCGGAGAAAAACCGGUGAGAUAGUCUGGUCAAUCCAAAACUGAACAACCCUUAUUUAGGAAGUUAAAACAUCUGCAGGGCAGUAAAGAGAAACCAAAAGACGGCAGCAUCUUUUGCAGACAAUGUCAGACAUUGUAACUGUAGAUGAUAUCGAGUGCCAACUGUGGAUCUGCAAUAAUUUGUAAGUUGCAUUUCAGAGCCUUCAUCUGAUAUUCACCCUAGACAGGGUCAGUUAAGCUCAGCACGUUCACCUGUUCAGUGUAUAGUGCAAAUGCACAGUGACGACUCAAGACCUGUAUUUUCAACAGUGCCUUUUGCACUGGCUGUUGAUUGUUCUUUUAAUAUGUACUACAAUCUUGCUUCACUGCGUCGACAAGGAAACCUGAGAGCAGUAAUGCCCCAUACACAUGUGCAAAUUUGCUAUUUUGCACGCUUUCUAAACAGGAAAAUGAAACACUCAUUUUCGUUAGUCUAAUGACUGUAGAUGUCAGAACUUGAGGCAAUGUCCUGAAAGAUCAGUUAAGGUGAUUAGGCUGGUAUGAUCGCUCACCGGUCAUAUACUGCAACUCAACAAAAACACUCCUACAGCAGCCAAUUUCUGCCCUUUGACAAACCUGGAGCCACAAACUACAGUUGAAUUAUCAUUGCAUAUGUAACUAAUGGUAAAGGGUGGUUGAUUAUAUGGAAAGAAAAAAGCCCAUCUGGCAUAUGACCAAUUAAUCAUCAAAAAUAAAUAUUCUUCCUCUCAGUGAAUCUCAUACUAAGGUUAGAUUUGCUCAGGAUUAUGUAGCCACAGGUCAGGAAAGAUGCUAAACUACUACAAUUCCUGGUUGCUUGGGUUGCAUGUCCUAUUCUUGGGUCAGCUAUCCCUUCAGACUUGGAACAAACAGCAUGACCGGGAGAUACUUAAACAGUCUAUAUCUAAUAAUAAAGCGGCUAUUGCUUUCGUCGGAAAACCCACCACGGCAUUUUUAUAAAAAAGCCCUUGUAAUUUUGUUAUUCAACCCGUGCUCCAUCAUUUAUCUGCAACGCAAAAGGAAAAACGAUUCGCUGCAAAAAUUAUACCCGUACGCAUCGCCUCCUCCCGUCGAUCCUGGGCCACCCUGGCAUGUGCCUAGGCCGCCGCCACAUCACUCGCCGCCGCGGCCGACCUCAACCCCACCUCUGCCGAUCUCAACCCACCCGCCUCCGCGGUCGUACCUCUCCCUACUCACUGCCCCUGUUGCGGCGCUCGAGCGCAUCGCGUCGACCCUGCUCCACCCUAGGCUGUGCCCAGGCCGCUGCCACACCACUCGUCGCCGCGGCCGACCUCAACCACCACUGUUGUCGAUCUCAACCCACCCGCCUCCACGGCCGUACCUCUGCCCGCUUGCUGCCCCGUUUCGACGCUCGAGCACAACUUCUGGAUCAAAUCAACGCGACAGCUACAGUGACUGGGGAUGAUGCGUCUGCUCGAUGCAGAACGGCGGCGGCGCGCGGAUAAGACGCGGCGGAGCAAAUUACUUGCAGGUGGAGGCGGGCCUCCAUGACUCACACGGGGAACUCCGAGGUUAUGGCGCGGCAACAACGACUCCUUAUGGCCACAUAGAGGCGCCUAACCCUGGCUCUCCUCUUCGUAUCCUCUCCUCCGGCAGGAACUCAUCAUCUCGUGAGAUCCCCUCCCCAUGCCUCCAACCGUGUGCCAAGCACCGACAAGAAAAUUUGUUUUAUGGUGAUUUAUUUACUGAUGAAUGAAUGUAUUGAAUGUAAGAUUGUAUUGUUGUAGAGACAGAGAAUGAAACACCACCUUCAGUUUGUCAUCUGAUCCCACAUUCUCUACCCCAUGAAUGAAAUAAGAUAACAGUCAAUUGAUCAAUUCAGGUAGCCUCUUUGUUUUGCUUUGCUUGUCCCGCUCAAUUUCUCAUCAUGAUAAAAUUAACAAUGGACGGGUUGAUUUCUCAACAAAAUAGGAUAGGACUGACUACAUUAGUUAGUUAGCUUAUUAUUUUAAUAAAUCAAACUGAUUAUAAAAAGACUAAAAGCGUGUGGUAUUUUUUCUCCCGUUGCAACGCACGGACCCUUUUGCUAGUAUUAGUCAAAUAAACCUAACAGAACCACAGCUUAUUCAAGUACCUAGGUUAACAAGCACGCACAUAGCAAAUGCAAGCAUAGUAAAUACAAUCGCACGAGAAGGCCAAAUGAAAACUGACAAGCAUUCUCUGAUGAUAUAUACAAGACAAUAUUAUUAUUACUACUAGAGGAUCGAACACUUAUUAUUUAGGAGGGCUGACAAUCUCGAGUGCAAGCUAACAGGAAGUCAGUUCAGAACUUGGAUCAAACUGCAUCGAAUUGGGACGUGUUCCAUGCUUUAAAAAAAGCAGUACAAGAACUUUGGAAACAGAUCCUGUCAACAACACAAAAAUAAAUAAAUCCAAAUAUCGUACGCCAUCACUUUCAGAAUUAAAACAUCUGCGCGGCGGCAGUAAAUAGUUGACAUAUAAUCUAAAAAUAGUGGAUGACAUCAUGCACCAACCAAUUGCACUUCAGAGACUUCACACAGAGUCAGUUUUGUUGAGUAAAUAGGCAAUUUUCCGAGUAGAUUAAUACAUGAAAUAAUUACUAACAUGACAUUGACUAGGUUCAUGACAUACUGAUCAGGGAGUAUACUAGCAAGUACUACGCAUAUAGCAGAAACAUCUACGCAUAUAGGCAGUACUAUUAUUGCAGACAAAAACAGGAGAGGGAUAAACAUAUCAUACCCUCCGAUCGGCCAAUUGGCCGUAGCAGCAGCGGUGGCGGCGGCAGCAUCCUCUGCCGCCUUCUUCUCGACUUCGGCCUUCUCGCGGACGAGACGGUCAGCUUCGCUUGGUGAAGACAUGACGAUGACGAGGGCGACGCGGACGUAGACGAAGCAGACGGACGGAGGCGAGCAGUCGCGUGAUCGCUCCCCAAAAACCUAAUCNNNNNNNNNNNNNNNNNNNNNNNNNNNNNNNNNNNNNNNNNNNNNNNNNNNNNNNNNNNNNNNNNNNNNNNNNNNNNNNNNNNNNNNNNNNNNNNNNNNNGGGUGACGGGGAGCAUAGGCCKRKSGRSCAGCAGGGGACGACGCUAGGGCCGACGGGGACGAAGUGGUCGGGACGGCGGGCGGGGUGGUGGCCGGCGGUGUGUGUAGGGUCGGGAGAGAUGGCGGUGGAGGAAGGAUCCGGCGGAGUUGAGAGUCCCUCCGGUCUCUCGUCGCUAGUCCUCCCGGUCCUUUUGUUGGGGAACGUCGCAUGGGAAACAAAAUUUUCCUACGUGCACGAAGACCUAUCAUGGUGAUGUCCAUCUACGAGAGGGGAUGUGUGAUCUACGUACCCUUGUAGACCGUACAGCAGAAGCGUUAGUGAACGCGGUUGAUGUAGUGGAACGUCCUCACGUCCCUCGAUCCGCCCCGCGGACUAUCCCGCGAUCAGUCCCACGAUCUAGUGCCAAACAGACGGCACCUCCGCGUUCAGCACACGUAUAGCUCGACGAUGAUCUCGGCCUUCUUGAUCCAUCAAGAGAGACGGAGAGGUAGAAGAGUUCUCCGGCAGCGUGACGGCGCUCCGGAGGUUGGUGAUGAUCUCGUCUCAGCAGGGCUCCGCCCGAGCUCCGCAAAAACGCGAUCUAGAGGUAAAACCGUGGAGAUAUGUGGUCGGGCUGCCGUGGCAAAGUUGUCUCAAAUCAGCCCUAAAACCUCCGUAUAUAUAGGGGGAAGAGGGGGAGCCUUGCCUUGGGGUCCAAGGACCCCUAAGGGCUUCGGCCGAGCCAAGGGGGAAGGUCUCCCUCCCCAAACCGAGUCCUACUUGGUUUGGAAGGUGGAGUCCUUCUUCCCUUUCCCACCUCCUCCUUUCUUUUUUCUCUUUCUUUUUUCUUCCAAUGCGCAUAGGGCUCUUUUGGGCUGUCCCACCAGCCCACUAAGGGCUGGUGCGCCACCCUCAAUGCCUAUGGGCUUCCCCGGGGUGGGUUGCCCCCCCCCGGUGAACCCCCGGUGAAGUGGCUGUGGUGUUCCAGGCGGUGUCAAUUGUGAAACAAUUCCACAUUGUCUUAAGUGAGCACCAAACUCGAAACUCAGAUAUUCACCCCCACGAUCAGACCGUAGGAACUUGAUCUUCUUGUUACGAUGAUUUUCAACUUCACUCUGAAAUUGCUUGAACUUUUCAAAUGUUUCAGACUCGUGCUUCAUCAAGUAGACAUAACCAUAUCUACUCAAAUCGUCAGUGAAGGUGAGAACAUAACGAUAUCCGCCGCGUGCCUCCAUGCUCAUCGGACCACACACAUCGGUAUGUAUGAUUUCCAACAAGUCACUUGCACGCUCCAUUGUUCCGGAGAACGGAGUUUUAGUCAUCUUGCCCAUGAGGCAUGGUUCGCACGUGUCAAGUGAAUCAAAGUCAAGUGACUCCAAAAGUCCAUCGGCAUGGAGUUUCUUCAUGCGCUUUACACCAAUAUGACCUAAGCGGCAGUGCCACAAAAAUAUGGCGCUAUCAUUGUUAACUCUAACUCUUUUGGUCUCAAUGUUAUGUGUGUGUGUGUAUCACUAUCAAGAUUCAAUAUGGGCAAUCCUCUCACAUUGGGUGCAUGACCAUAAAAGAUGUUACUCAUAGAAAUAGAACAACCAUUAUUCUCUGACUUAAAAGAGUAACCGUCUCGCAAUAAACAAGAUCCAAAUAUAAUGUUCAUGCUCAACGCAGGCACUAAAUAACAAUGAUUCAAGUUCAUAACUAAUCCUGAUGGUAACUGAAGUGAAACUGUGCCGACGGCGAUUGCAUCAACCUUGGAACCAUUUCCUACGCGCAUCGUCACUUCAUCUUUCGCCAGCCUUCGUCUAUUCCGCAAUUCCUGUUUCGAGUUGCAGAUAUGAGCAACAGAACCGGUAUCGAAUACCCAUGCACUACUACGAGAGCCGGUUAAGUACACAUCAAUAACAUGUAUAUCAAAUAUACCUGAUUUUUCUUUGGCCGCCUUCUUUUCAGCCAGAUACUUGGGGCAAUUGCGCUUCCAGUGACCCAUACCCUUGCAAUAGUAACACUCUGUUUCAGGCUUAGGUCCAGCUUUGGGUUUCUUCGUCGGAUUGGCAACAGGCUUGCCGCUCUUCUUCGAAUUACCCUUCUUGCCUUUGCCGUUUCUCUUGAAACUAGUGGUCUUAUUCACCAUCAACACUUGAUGCUCUUUACGGAGUUCAGACUAUGCGACUUUCAGCAUCGCAAACAACUCGCCGGGAGACUUGUUCAUCCCUUGCAUGUUGUAGUUCAACACAAAGCCUUUAUAGCUUGGCGGCAGGGAUUGAAGGAUUCUGUCAGUGAUAGCUUCUUGCGGGAGUUCAAUGCCCAGCUCAGCUAGACGGUUUGAGUACCCAGACAUUUUGAGCACAUGUUCACUGACAGACGAAUUCUCCUCCAUCUUGCAAGCAUAGAAUUUAUCGGAGGUCUCAUACCUCUCGAUCCGGGCGUUCUUCUGAAAGAUAAACUUCAACUCUUGGAACAUCUCAAAUGCUGCAUGAUGCUCAAAGCGACGUUGAAGUCCCGGUUCUAAGCCAUACAAGACUGCACAUUGAACUACUGAGUAGUCCUCCUUACGUGCUAACCAAGCGUUCUUAACAUCCUGAUCAGCCGUAGCGGGUGGUUCAUCUCCUAGCGCAGCAUUAAGGACAUAAUCCUUCUUCCCAGCUUGUAAGAUUAGCUUAAGAUUACGAGCCCAGUCUACAAAGUUGCUUCCAUCAUCUUUCGACUUAGCUUUCUCUAGGAACGUAUUAAAAUUGAGGGUGACUGUCGCGUGAGCCAUGAUCUACAACACAAAUAUAUGCAAAGUGGACUUAGACUAUGUUCAAGAUAAUUAGAGUUUAACUUAAUCAAAUUACUCGCUAAACUCCCACUCAAAAGUACAUCUCUCUAGCCAUUUGAGUGGUUCAUGAUCCACUUACACUAGCUCAAGUCCGAUCAUCACGUGAGUUGAGCAUAGUUUCAGUGGUAAGCAUCCCCAUGCUAAUCAUAUCAUCUAUAUGAUUCAUGAUCGACCUUUCGGUCUCAUGUGUUCCGAGGCCAUGUCUGCACAUGCUAGGCUCGUCAAGCUUAACCCGAGUGUUCCGCGUGCGCAACUGUUUUGCACCCGUUGUAUGUGAACGUUGAGUCUAUCACACCCGAUCAUCACGUGGUGUCUCGAAACGACGAACUGUAGCAACGGUGCACAGUCGGGGAGAACACAAUUUCGUCUUGAUAUUUUAGUGAGAGAUCACCUCAUAAUGCUACCGUCGUUCUAAGCAAAAUAAGGUGCAUAAAAGGAUUAACAUCACAUGCAAUUCAUAAGUGACAUGAUAUGGCCAUCAUCACGUGCUCCUUGAUCUCCAUCACCAAAGCAUCGGCACGAUCUUCUUGUCACCGGCGCCACACCAUGAUCUUCAUCAACGUGUCGCCAUCGGGGUUGUCGUGCUACUCAUGCUAUUACUACUAAAGCUACAUCCUAGCAAAAUAGUAAACGCAUCUGCAAGCACAAACGUUAGUUAUAAAGACAACCCUAUGGCUCCUGCCGGUUGCCGUACCAUCGACGUGCAAGUCGAUAUUAUCUAUUACAACAUGAUCAUCUCAUACAUCCAAUAUAUCACAUCACAUCAGUGGCCAUAUCACAUCACAAGCAUACCCUGCAAAACAAGUUAAACGUCCUCUAAUUUUGUUGUUGCAUGUUUUACGUGGUGACCAUGGGUAUCUAGUAGGAUCGCAUCUUACUUACGCAAACACCACAACGGAGAUAUAUGAGUUGCUAUUUAACCUCAUCCAAGGACCUCCUCGGUCAAAUCCGAUUCAACUAAAGUUGGAGAAACUGACACCCGCCAGUCAUCUUUGAGCAACGGAGUUACUCGUAGCGAUGAAACCAGUCUCUCGUAAGCGUACGAGUAAUGUCGGUCCAAGCCGCUUCGAUCCAACAAUACCGCGGAAUCAAGAAAAGACUAAGGAGGGCAGCAAAACGCACAUCACCGCCCACAAAAACUUUUGUGUUCUACUCGAGAAGACAUCUACGCAUGAACCUAGCUCAUGAUGCCAGUGUUGGGGAAUGUCGCAUGGGAAACAAAAAUUUUCCUACGCGCACGAAGACCUAUCAUGGUGAUGUCCAUCUGCGAGAGGGGAUGUGUGAUCUACGUACCCUUGUAGACCGUAUAGCAGAAGCGUUAGUGAACACGGUUGAUGUAGUGGAACGUCCUCACGUCCCUCGAUCCGCCCCGCGAACUAUCCCGCGAUCAGUCCCACGAUCUAGUGCCAAACGGACGGCACCUCCGCGUUCAGCACACGUACAACUCGACGAUGAUCUCGGCCUUCUUGAUCCAGCAAGAGAGACGGAGAGGUAGAAGAGUUCUCCGGCAGCGUGACGACGCUCCGGAGGUUGGUGAUGAUCUCGUCUCAGCAGGGCUCCGCUCGAGCUCCGCAAAAACGCGAUCUAGAGGUAAAACCGUGGAGAUAUGUGGUCGGGCUGCCGUGACAAAGUUGUCUCAAAUCAGCCCUAAAACCUCCGUAUAUAUAGGGCGAAGAGGGGGAGCCUUGCCUUGGGGUCCAAGGACCCCUAAGGGCUUCGGCCGAGCCAAGGGGGAAGGUCUCCCUCCCCAAACCGAGUCCUACUUGGUUUGGAAGGUGGAGUCCUUCUUCCCUUUCCCACCUCCUCCUUUUUUUCUCUUUGAUUUUUUCUUCCAAUGCGCAUAGGGCUCUUUUGGGCUGUCCCACCAGCCCACUAAGGGCUGGUGCACCACCCUCAAUGCCUAUGGGCUUCCCCGGGGUGGGUUGCCCCCCGGUGAACUCCCGGAACCCAUUCGUCAUUCCCGGUAGAUUCCCGGUAACUCCGAAAACCUUCCGGUAAUCAAAUGAGGUCAUCCUAUAUAUCAAUCUUCAUUUCCGGACCAUUCUGGAAACCCUCGUGACGUCCGUGAUCUCAUCCGGGACUCCGAACAACAUUCGGUAACCAACCAUAUAACUCAAAUACGCAUAAAACAACGUCGAACCUUAAGUGUGCAGACCCUGCGGGUUCGAGAACUAUGUAGACAUGACCCGAGAGACUCCUCGGUCAAUAUCCAAUAGCGGGACCUGGAUGCCCAUAUUGGAUCCUACAUAUUCUGCGAAGAUCUUAUCGUUUGAACCUCAGUGCCAAGGAUUCAUAUAAUCCCGUAUGUCAUUCCCUUUGUCCUUCGGUAUGUUACUUGCCCGAGAUUCGAUCGUCAGUAUCCGCAUACCUAUUUCAAUCUCGUUUACCGGUAAGUCUCUUUACUCGUUCCGUAAUACAAGAUCCCGCAACUUACACUAAGUCACAUUGCUUGCAAGGCUUGUGUGUGAUGUUGUAUUACCGAGUGGGCCCCGAGAUACCUCUCCGUCACACGGAGUGACAAAUCCCAGUCUCGAUCCAUACUAACUCAACGAAGACCUUCGGAGAUACCUGUAGAGCAUCUUUAUAGUCACCCAGUUACGUUGCGACGUUUGAUACACACAAAGUAUUCCUCCGGUGUUAGUGAGUUAUAUGAUCUCAUGGUCAUAGGAACAAAUACUUGACACGCAGAAAACAGUAGCAAUAAAAUGACACGAUCAACAUGCUACGUCUAUUAGUUUGGGUCUAGUCCAUCACGUGAUUCUCCUAAUGACGUGAUCCAGUUAUCAAGCAACAACACCUUGUUUAUAAUCAGAAGACACUGACUAUCGUUGAUCAACUGACUAGCCAACUAGAGGCUUGCUAAGGACAGUGUUUUGUCUAUGUAUCCACACAUGUAUAUAAGUCUUCAUUCAAUACAAUUAUAGCAUGGAUAAUAAACGAUUAUCUUGAUACAGGAAUUAUAAUAAUAACUAUAUUUAUUAUUGCCUCUAGGACAUAAUUCCAACACCUUUUUUUCUGAGCGCUAGUCACUAGCCCAAGGAAGGAUCGGGUACGGAAUGACGAUAUACGAGAGAGACUUGGGGUAGCACCGAUUGAAGAGAAGCUGGUCCAACAUCGUCUCAGAUGGUUUGGACAUAUUCAAUGGAGGCCAUCGGAAGUGCCGGUGCAUAGCGGACGGAUAAAGCGUGUUGAGAAUGUUAAGAGGGGUCGUGGUAGACCAAACUUGACAUGGAAGGAGUCCGUUAAGAGAGACCUGAAGGUUUGGAAUAUCGACAAAGACUUAGCCAUGGACAGGGGUGCGUGGAAGUUAGCUAUCCACGUUCCAGAGCCAUGACUUGAUUUCGAGAUCUUAUGGGUUUCAACUCUAGCCUACCCCAACUUGUUUGGGACUGAAAGGCUUGGUUGUUGUUGUUGUUUUGUUGCUAGUCGCUAGCCCAAAGAAUAGCGUUAUAAUCUAGUCCAGUCAAUGUCAAGUAUCAGGUGGUUCAAUAAAAAUGUGAAGUAUCAGGUUGAGUUUAGCGUUAUGGUGGAUUAUGACAAUCCCGUUUGCCAAUCUUUUCUAAGUGCUUGGGUGACCUGUUUUUGCAUACCUUGGUGGCUAAUUUUUCACAUUUUUUACAAAAUAAGAAAAACGCAACACAGUUCGACAACCGCAAACUGAGCUUAGUAGUACAUAACUUGUCUGGUUCCACCAAAUUAGAUUUUCGUUUUCUCUCGAUUAAUUGAGCAUUUUGAUACAGUGCAUAUUUUACCAAAUACCGUGCCUUUUAUUCAUGUAUUAAAGAUUGUAUCAAAGAAAGUGAGACGAGGACAAAGAACCUGAAAUUAUCUCACUUUUUAGGCACCGGUUUGGGCAUAUAUACAUGCUUGGCACCUUGCUCAUGCCCUUAUGAACAGCGAGAUUGAUAAUAGAUCAGCAUUCUGCAUUCAUCGUUACAACUUACUCCCUUUGUCAACUAAUAUAAAAACGUUUAGGCCCUGUUUGAAACCAUAAUAGAUUAUGAUAAUCUGGAUUAUGAAGAUAGAUUAUAUAAUCUGGUUUAUAAAAAUAAUCUAAAUGGACAUGUUUGGAGGCCAGAUUAUAUAAACUGCAAUCCAGGUUUUACAUUGCAUAAUGACCUGUCUGUCCUCUGUUUUUAAAAGAAAGGAGGGUGGCGGUGGUAGGAAUGUAAUUACCUCCAACUUUACAAGGGUAAUGGGUCAUUAGCAAUCCAUAAUCUGAUUUUAGCUAGUGUAGAGUAGAUUAUGAGUUUUUAAUAAUCUGUCCAUCUAGUUUUUGUAAUCUACAUCAUAAUCUGUCCUGUUUGAAGACAAAAUAGAUUAUAAAAACUGGAUUAUAUAAUCUGGAUGGUUCUAAACAGGGCCUCAGAUCACUACUUUGAUGAUCUAAACGCUUUUAUAUUAGUUGACAAAGGGAGUACAAGUUAUGGUAUAGUGCUCCCAGCCUUAGGUCAGGUAAAUGUGCAGUAGACCAGCAUUAAUCGGUACACCAGUAUAUUAUUUUACUAUGGCGCAACCGAAUAUACAUAUAUAUGAUAAUUCCUCAAAACAACAGUGACGAAAAUAGUGUAAAAAGAGAAGAAUGUCAUCGAAUAUUCAUUUCUGAGCCUAGGCUCAUCGGCUUUCUGCGGAAUGGUAAUACCGGGGAAAAUGCUGGAAUGUAUAAUCGUUCAUCGCGGUCCACAGCUGCAUUGGCAGCAAAGACAAGGUGGACAAAUGGGCCCGGCUUCUGCAAAAAACACACACAACUUGGUUAUAGGUUACUACUCCCUCUGCACCUAAAUUACUGUAGUUGAAGAAAACUAGACUAGUUCUCCCAACUACUAUUAUUUAGGUAUAGAGAAAAUACAACUCUACAUGUAUAUCUGGUAAUAAAAGGAACCACGUUACCCAUCUUCACUAUAAUGGCCUUAACUUCUAGCAAAGCAUAGGACAUCCAAUCAAAUUACUUUGUAAUGAAUUUUAACUCCAUGUUAGUUAAUUUUGGCCUCACAGACUUGUAUUUGUAAUUUUUAUAUAAAAUAUGUCUUAGAACAUUUUGUUCUACGGUUAGAGGUUUCAAAAAAAAACUCCAUGUUAGUUCUAGAGGCUGGGGGUGUGCCCUCCUUUUCGAAUAAUAAUAAUAACAAUAAUAAUAAGGGUUUCUACUAUAUUAAACCUAAGGUGAUCUACUCCUGAUGGCUCAUCAGAGUGUAUCAGGUGAAAAUGAGAACAUUCCUGGAAUCAAACUAAUAGUCAGGAUAUCAUGAGAUGCAGGGAGAUUAUUUGUCCUGGUAGUUCCCGCAAAAAGAACAAAUAGUAAAACUAAAAGUAGACAUUGCCUUAUUAAAAAACUCCAUUUCUGUGAAUAAAACUGGUAUCAACCUGCUCUAAAGAAAGCUACAGAUUUCACUUAGUAGAUUCGCAAGGCAGAGUACAUACGUGAUGAAGAUGCCGCACGGUUCAGGAAAACGAGCAGAAUGAUCCCAGUUGUAACAACUCGAAGAACCAAGAGGUACCACCAAGCCAUUGUGAGGCAAAUGAAGGCAGCUGCAUUCACUAUGGUUGGUUCUUAUGCUUCGUCUUCGUCUAAAUAAAGGAUCUGUACCGGUAAUACAGAAAACAUGCAACAACUAAACAAGAACUUUCAGUAACUUUGACUGGAAAGACAGUGAUGUUUUUUAUAAGACGGCAAAGUAAACAGAGAAAAUUUUGUCAAAGGUGAACAAGAAUCUUUGACCGGACCAUGUUGAAUGGGAAAUGGUAUUCCGAUGGCAGCGGCGUGCGUGCGUGCUCCUAUUUUUCUGCAUCAACUACUUGUUACGCAAAGCAGCACACGACGUUUUACGGAAACUUCUAAGUUUAAUAUGGUCACAUUAGUCACUGUCUACUAACGAAGUUGGACAGGUUCUUCUCCCGAAACUUUCAAAACAUCAUUGCCCCUAAUUUUCUUGUUCAGGGACAUUGACAAACCUCACAUUAGUUACGGUCUACUAACAAAGUUGGACAUGUUCCUCUCCUAGAACUUUCAGAAACGUCUUUGUCCCCAGCUGUCCUAUUCAGGGACAGAUAAACUUAUACGACUUGCAAACCUCGCAUUAGUUAUGAUCUACUAACAAUGUUGGAUAGGUUUUUCUCGCAGAACUUUCAUAAAGUUCAUUGCCCGGAAAUUGUCCUGUUCAGAGGGUUAGAAACUUAUAUGACUUAUUACUACAAACUAACAAAUCUUAUAGUCCAAGUUAAUAUUAUUCAAUUUUUGACAUACAUCCAAUGUGGACAUGUAUUGACUAACAAACUGGUACUCUUCCACCGAGGAAACUCCAACCAUAGUUCCAGAAGUUUAUAAACGGCACGUUGCAAAGUUUCAGUUCUGAACCAAAACUAGACUUGCAUGCACCAAGAACAAUCAGCUAAAGACUAGUGAAUAGUGACCUGACCUCUACAACCCAGCAACAUACCUCUAUAAAAAGCAAAUUAUUGCUCUUCCAGAAUCAGAUCAGCCCAAAAUUCACGGUUUCAUAUCAACCAGAUGGGUUGGGCAGUGGUGUUGGCCAUCCUCAUCUCAUCGGUUUUGCAUCCCUUGUUGCUGACAACUUUAGCUGAUGAAUCCGACAACAACCGAGACGCUUUGCUCUGCCUCAAGUCUCGCCUCUCCAUCACCACAUGGAACACCACCUCACCAGAUUUCUGCAGUUGGCGUGGUGUCUCGUGCACAAGGCAGCCACAACUACCAGUAGUGGUGGCCUUGGACUUGGAGGCACAAGGCCUCACCGGCGAAAUCCCACCCUGCAUGUCCAACCUCACCUCGCUGGUGCGAAUCCACUUGCCGAGCAACCAGCUCUCCGGUCAUCUCCCACCAGAGAUUGGCCGGCUCACUGGACUCCAGUACCUCAACCUCAGCUCCAACGCGCUCAGCGGAGAGAUCCCGCAAUCACUGUCGUUAUGCUCUAGCCUUGAGGUCGUGGCACUGAGAAGCAACUCCAUUGAAGGUGUGAUCCCGUUGAGCCUCGGUACGCUCCGCAACCUUUCCUCUCUAGACUUGUCCAGCAAUGAACUUUCUGGUGAGAUUCCACCUCUACUCGGGAGCUCACCGGCUUUGGAGUCUGUCAGUCUCACCAACAACUUUCUCAAUGGAGAAAUCCCGCUGUUUUUGGCAAAUUGUACCUCACUUCGCUACCUUUCUCUACAAAACAACAGUCUUGCUGGGGCCAUACCGGCAGCUCUUUUCAACAGCUUAACCAUCACAGAAAUACAUAUUUCGAUGAACAAUCUUUCUGGGUCAAUUCCACUUUUCACAAACUUCCCUUCAAAGCUCGACUACCUCGAUUUAACAGGGAACAGCCUAACCGGAACUGUGCCGCCCUCAGUAGGAAAUCUCACACGGCUUACCGGUCUGUUAAUUGCGCAAAACCAGUUGCAGGGAAACAUUCCGGAUCUAUCCAAGCUAUCAGACCUGCAAUUCCUUGACCUCUCAUACAACAAUCUAUCAGGGAUAGUGCCACCAUCUAUUUACAAUUUACCUUUGCUGAGAUUCCUUGGGUUGGCCAACAAUAAUCUUCGAGGAACACUUCCUUCUGAUAUGGGGAACACUCUUUCUAACAUCAAUUCAUUGAUCAUGUCUAACAAUCAUUUUGAGGGUGAGAUUCCGGCAUCGCUAGCCAAUGCCUCCAGCAUGGAGUUCCUGUAUCUCGGCAACAAUUCGCUGAGCGGGGUGGUUCCUUCCUUCGGCUCCAUGUCGAAUUUGCAGGUUGUAAUGCUGCACUCAAAUCAGCUAGAAGCUGGAGACUGGACAUUCUUGUCAUCCUUAGCAAAUUGUACAGAGCUGCAAAAGCUGAACUUGGGUGGAAACAAACUAAGCGGUAAUUUGCCGGCUGGUUCUGUAGCAACCCUGCCGAAAAGGAUGAAUGGCUUGACUCUGCAGUCAAACUACAUAUCUGGCACCAUUCCCUUGGAGAUUGGGAACCUGUCUGAAAUUUCCCUACUUUACCUUGAUAACAAUCUUUUCACAGGGCCUAUACCUUCUACUCUUGGCCAGCUAAGCAAUUUGUUUAUUCUUGACCUAUCCUGGAACAAGUUCUCUGGAGAAAUUCCACCUUCCAUGGGUAACUUGAAUCAGCUGACGGAAUUUUAUUUACAAGAAAAUGAAUUAACUGGAAGCAUACCCACAAGUUUAGCUGGCUGCAAGAAAUUGGUGGCACUAAACCUUUCCAGCAAUGGCCUCAAUGGGAGCAUCAACGGGCCCAUGUUUAGCAAGUUGUAUCAGCUGAGUUGGUUACUUGACAUAUCACAUAACCAGUUCAGAGACUCCAUACCUCCAGAAAUUGGUAGCUUGAUAAACCUUGGUUCCUUGAACCUUUCGCACAACAAACUCACAGGUAAAAUUCCAUCCACACUUGGUGCAUGUGUCCGGUUGGAAUCACUGAACUUAGGCGGGAACCACCUAGAAGGAAGCAUUCCACAAUCACUGGCAAACCUGAAGGGUGUCAAAGCAUUAGAUUUCUCCCAAAACAAUUUAUCCGGUACAAUACCAAAAUUCCUUGAGACAUUCACUUCACUGCAGUACCUAAAUAUGUCCUUUAACAACUUUGAGGGGCCAGUUCCAAUAGGUGGAGUCUUUGACAACACAAGUGGUGUUUCUUUCCAAGGAAAUGCACUUCUUUGUUCAAAUGCUCAAGUCAAUGAUUUACCCAGGUGCUCCACCUCGGCAUCUCAGAGAAAGCGCAAGUUCAUUGUUCCAUUGUUGGCAGCUCUGUCAGCUGUUGUUGCAUUGGCCUUGAUCUUAGGGCUGGUUUUCCUGGUUUUCCAUAUUUUGAGAAAGAAGAGGGAGAGAUCAAGUCAGUCUAUUGACCACACAUAUACAGAGUUUAAAAGGCUAACAUACAAUGAUGUAAGCAAAGCAACGAAUGGCUUCUCUCCAACCAAUAUAGUUGGUUCUGGGCAAUUCGGGAUAGUGUAUAAAGGUCAGUUGGAUGGAAAAGACAGCUCGGUUGCUGUUAAAGUAUUCAAACUUAAUCAGUAUGGUGCAUUGGAUAGCUUUAUUGCUGAGUGCAAAGCUUUGCGGAACAUCCGGCACCGAAAUCUCGUGAGUGUCAUAACUGCAUGCUCAACUUACGAUCUGAUGGGGAAUGAGUUCAAAGCUCUGGUCUUCCAAUAUAUGGCAAAUGGUAGCCUUGAGAAUCGACUUCAUGCUAAGCUCCAGAACAAUGCUGAUUUGAGUUUGGGAACAGUGAUAUGCAUAGCAGUAGACAUUGCGUCUGCUCUGGAAUACCUUCAUAACCAAUGCACCCCACCAGUGGUUCACUGUGAUUUGAAGCCAAGCAAUAUACUCUUUGACGAUGAUGAUACUUCGUAUGUCUGUGAUUUUGGGCUAGCAAGGUUAAUUCAUGGUUAUUCAUCUGAAGCUCAGAGCAGCUCAACAAGCAUAGCUGGACCAGGGGGGACUAUUGGAUACAUCGCUCCUGGUGGGUAACUAAAACUAGCCUGAAUUACUAUUUUACUUUUGAUUAUAGUGCUUGUCAUAACUUUUUGUUUCCAAUCGCUGCAGAGUAUGGCAUGGGCAGUCAAAUCUCAACUGAGGGCGAUGUCUAUAGUUACGGAAUUAUACUUUUAGAAAUGCUAACAGGGAAAAGACCUACGGAUGAAACAUUCGGUAAUGGCCUUACACUCCAGAAGUACGUAGAUGCAUCACUUUCAGAAAUUGAACGCGUUCUUCGCCCCAGUCUUAUGCCAAAAAUUGGAGAUCAACCUACUAUUACCCCCAAAAUAGAAGAAUACAGGGCAACUACAGUGAUGCAUAUCUGUGCUCUGCAACUCGUUAAACUUGGGUUGUUAUGCUCCGUCGAGUCACCAAAAGAUCGCCCAAGCAUGCAUGAAAUUUACAGCGAAGUAAUUGCUGUAAAAGAAGCAUUUUUCUCAAUGAACAGUUGAGAGAUACACUACACGCCUAGAACAGUUUUGAUAUACUGCACAUAGAUUUAUGUCGCAAAUAUUUCCGUUUAUUUGGAUUGUUUUCUUCAUUCUAAAGGCCAGGUACCAAAUUGCUGAAUCUUUUUAUGUAAAUUUCACUAUGCAUUGAUGUUAAAGGCCCGAGCUAUUCUGUCAAUUUGAACUUUUCUUCAGAGAUAAAAGGCCGGUAGCUCUGUUUUCCUAUUGCUUUCAUCAAUGCCAAAGCAACUUGGCCUCCCCGCACAAAUGUGUGGGGCGGACAAUAAUCAAUAUUUACAGCUGAAAUCUCUGCAUUGGUGUUGGAAGUUGCUUCUUUUCUAACCAGAAGUCUCUCAAUUUGCCUCACUGCUAAAUAGCCGAAACACUAGCUAACAUUCCUGUAUGAUGUGUCAAGUUUGGAGCACCCAGUAGGCCAGUACUGGUACUAGUAGUAUUGGUGGUGGCUGCAACGAAGCCCAAUCUCUAGGGACUGCGACUACAAGUCCGAUUAAUCCUGGUUAAAUCAAGUUUGAAGCAAAAACUGUACAAGAUCGAUACGGUAAUUUUGGUAUUUGACACGGAAAUAACAGGACUAGAAAAGAAAUAGCAAACCCUAGGUGCUCACUUUGGCCUCAAUCGGGAAUGGGGCUGCCCUGCACGUCGUGACGAUGGCCGUCGGCCGCGCAAGGCGGAAGGUGGCCGCUGGACGUCGACCUUCGCCGGCGUGGUCUUGGCGCUCCGCGGCAGCUUCCUGCUCUUACUUGUUGUCCCGCGGCCUGUUCCCUGACUCGACUUCCUCCUCUAGUACUAGUACUUGAGAGGCGCAUAGUUAGAAAGAACAAGACCAAUCCCGAUUAGACUAGCAUGUUGUCAUUUUUUAUAAACGAAAACUCUAUGAAAAUCAAAUGUUAUAGGCGAGAAUCGAACAUUCCUGGGCUGGCUGCAAACUCCCGCGCCAAAUCAACUGAGCUACGUCACUCUCUGAGAGGCGCAUAGUUGCAGACGAGACGACAAACAAGAAAGCUUAUUUUGGAUUUUGGACUUGCUUUUCCUUUCUUAUUUUCUAUUUUUUUGAACACAAAAGAAUAUUCACGUCUGUUCCGUGGUAAACCGAAACGAAGACAAAAUAUUAAUGACUAGAUUCAUUUUCUUCGAACAAAAAUGGGAGUAAUUUGAUAACACCCGAACGUCAAGUAUGAACACAUGGCAAAUCAAACGUUUACAAUGACAAAUGUAGUUGGUGCAAGAAUUGUAAAAUUAGUUAGCAAACAUGACAAUUUUGUGUAAAGAAUUACCAUGUGCGUUAAUUAAAGUCAUCAUCCUCAAGUCAACUAAGGUUUAUCCAUAAGGUUAGGUACUUACCAUUUUCGAAAAGAAAACAGAAUAAUUUCUUGCGGAGGAACAGGAACAAGAACGGCUUUAUUUUUAAAGGAGUAGUACUCACGAAAGAUAACUUGCUCAGGGCAUGUAACUGUAGAUGUUAUUUUUGUAUCAACAAUGAAUCUAUCAAAUAUCUCUUUCUCGAAGGUUCAUUGGCUAGACUUUUAUGACGUACUAUUCAUAUAGCUUUCAAUAUAACCCUUCAUUGAUUAUGAACACGUUAUUUGGGACGUGGCUUAAUGGAGUGGAAGUUAACAAAGCUAAACAUAUUUGGAUAGGAGUAUGUGCAAUGCUAUGGGCUAUAUAGAAGAGUAGGAAUGAUAUGAUUUUUAAUAGGAAAAACUUUACUAAUUUGUUGCAAGUCAUAGAUAGAGCAAUUACUUUAAUUCGUAUGUGGUCGUUACUCAUGUCUGCGGAGUCUAUUGAGCGUUUGGUUGCUGGGUGCAACAGGUGAGAAACGGCAGCGCAGGCUAUCUUCAACCGACAUGGAUGACGACAAACUAAGGGCUAGGUGUAUACUCAUCGUAGUAGUCUGUGUUGAUAUGGCCAAAUGUGGCAUGUAAUUUCCGUUUAUUUCGAGCCUUCGUGCUCUAGCUGAAUCUUGCACUUUGUUUGAACUCACGUGCUUAAAUAAAAUGGCUGCAUGGCCGGCGGCUAUUUUCCUUUUCAAAAAAUAAAAUAAAUUUGGUUGCCUACGUGAGUUGUUGUGUGAGGCCUAAUCCAGCGCGCAACAGUGAACAGUUUGUGGCCGGCACUGACGCUAAUAUCAGCCUCCGUGUACCCGUCCAUGAGAAGGCCGGUGAAGCUCCUGCGAAAGGAGUCAGCUCGCCCCAUUGACUCGCUGCAUAUGCGUUGCGAUUCUGGCGUCCUACCUCAGCCUCAGCCUCAGCCUCCGUGUUUUCUCCUUUCGAGGAAUCGAUGCCCGCUGGUCACCACGAGUGGACGUCUCCUGAUCAAAGUCAACCCACAAGUUAAGCUAAGCUAAUCCAAGCUAGGUAGUAGCACUAAAAGGAAAAGGUUGCCCCAUGCUUGCACGCUAAUGGCCUGCAGCACAGCACAACACGAUUUUUGAGAUGAAAACUGUAGGGGAGCAGCACGUACAAUCCGUGUACUGAUAGGCUCUGGCUGUAGUAACACGAGCAUGGCAGAGCGUGCCAGCCAUGUUAGAGCAUCUCUAACGAUCCCGCAAAAGUAGUCAAACUCUUAAACUUUUAGGUUUUAUAAUUUUUAAUCUAAAAAAGUGUUCAGAACAAAAACGUAAAAUGGUUCAAUCCGUAAAAUUUUUCAUGGGCAUGAAAAAGUAAUAUACGAAAUCCUUAUAUUUGAAGAUUGGAAGGCCGAACCGAGGGGACCCCGUAUACCGGUCAAACCUCGUCGGAGCAAACACGACGCCGUGGAGUUUAUCGGAAUCCGUCCUAAACUCGUCAGAAUUCAUCACCGGACACCGAAAAAGGCUGCUAGACGCUGCAAUCGAUCGCGGCCAGUUCGAAUUGGACGAGCUCGACCUUCUUUCAUCUCAUCUACAAAUUACUAAUUUAGUGUGUACUUGUCUAUCCUUCUGUGAGGGGAUGACGGAAUAUAUAUGGAGUUUGGGUGUAACUGACCGAAGAUGAAUGCAAGGGCUUUCUUCAACCUGAUAGAAUAGCGAUCCAACAGCAGAAUUGGUGAUUGAGUUGUUUCUCUUCUUACUGCCUAAUUAUUUUUGAGCAUCCUUUAAGUAACACUUAAAUUUUCAAGUGAUAAAGCGUUUUUAUUGAAAAAUAAUUUUGAACGUGUUGCUCCAACUUGUAUUCUUUAUACUUUAUACGGCUUUCUUGAUGUUGCUUACUUAAACAUAAUAAAAAUGCCAGGUAACCAUUUUUGCAAAUGACAGUCAAGAUACGGAUUGUUCCUCUCGAUGCGGAUUGUUCCUCUUCCUCCUUGCAACAACGUGAAUUCCUCCUGCCAUAGCCCAAUCACCCGGCCGGUCUCAACAUCAGAACGCUGCAGCGUACUCUUUCCCCUGAAAUCUACCGAUCCAAAUUCGUUUUAUCAGCAACUAAUGAUAAACAGAAUAUGCAUUUUUAAAGGUAAACGUUCAAAGUUUCGGAAUUGUUGUUUGUAUGCCAAUCCAUCGGCUAGGGGCACGGAGACCGAUAAAAAGAUGAGAUCGAGGUCUUCCCAAGCAAAGACUACUAGUAGCAUCUUUGCCCCCAACUGCAGCAAACUCGAUCGCAGCGCACGCGUUCCUCGAUCGCGUACACAUGCGACGACAUGCCGCUCGGUGCUACUCGCCUACAAUUUCAUGCGUGUGUGUCAUGUCGCCAGAUCCACGAAUGCCGGUUAAUUAAGCUCCAAGCCAGGCCGCGCUUUUGCAUGCAUGCCCCGCCCCUUUCCUUCGUCCAUUCGCAUUAUGUAUGUACUUGGAGAAAAGUUUAGCAAGUCAGAUGACUGCGCUGGCACACCGUAUUGUACUUACUGCCAUGGUUUAGCGAGGGCACACGCUACUGUACUUGUUUGACAUUUUGACGAAUUAUUAAAAAUGUUGGAUUGAUAUAUUAUUACUAGACUCAAUUAAUUUAGAAUGCCGCUAGAGGAAGUACUCUAUAGGUGCUAGCUAAUGUGCUUUGUCACAAUGGAGUACAUUUUUUUGCGGGGUUUGUCACAGUGCUAAUUACCACUACAUUUGUCCUGGUUUACUAUUUCCCUCGUAUUUUGAAUUAUAUUUUUACCAUGACUUUAAUUAGUAAAAUAGGUAAUCAAAAUAAUAUCACUGAAAACUACCUUCCAAAUACGAAUCCAACAAUAUAAUUUUUGGAGCAUGCAUUAAUAUUUUGCUAGUCAAAUAUAUCACUUAAUUUUUGGAGCAUGCAUAAAUAUUUUCCUAGUCAAAUAUAUCACUUAAUUUUUGGAGCAUGCAUAAAUAUUUUCCUAGUCAAAUAUUUUGCCUCCAUGGCUCCAUCACUUAAGCCAUCCAUUGUUCACUUUCAUGUUUGUGUACACUGGUGGUAUCCACAGUGAGGAGCAUCGACAAUAGCUUGAGAUGGUGUUUGGAUACGUUUGAGUCCCAUGACUAAAAGUAAUGAGACUAAAACUUGCUAGCCUCACCCAUGCUUGGAUCCAAGUACUAAAGAGACUAAAAUCAAGUUAAUGAGCAUUUAUUAUCCUCCAAACCCUCCAAUCCAGAACUUGCAUGAGGAGUUAAAUGAGGAGAGAGAGGACUAAUGCACAUUUUAGUAGGGGUACCCCUGACUAAAAGAUUUUAGCCUCAAGACUAGUUUUAGCCUCUCUUUAGUCAGGGGUGCUUGGAACUUUAGCUUCUCAAAGAGACUAGUUUUAGUCAGACUAGUUUUAGUCUCUUGGAUCCAAGCACCCUCUGAGAUGAUUUGUACAUCACCGGGCUCACGGUCCAUGUCUCUAGUAGAGGGGGAGUGAUAGGGGCAAGGGUAGAGAAACAAACUUAUUGACUACGGUAACAUGGCGGCGGCGUCCACUCCAUCAAGGCCGUUGGCUAGUUUUUGCCACCAGGAGACCCAUUGCCGCCUCUACUCGUGCCACUGUCUUUGCCUAUUCUAGGGGGCAUUGAUCUCUUCGAUGCCCCUUGAUAUGUCGGGUAGAACAAUGUGUUGAAGGCUAAUCGAGAGGGAUUUAUGCGCACUGAGCUUAGGAGGAAGUAGACCUAGACAAGGAUGGCCCGGCCCGACAGGCCGGACCCGAAGCCCGAUGUCCGGGCCGGACUCGACACCUUCCAGCCCGAAGCCUGGUGAAAAAUGAUUUUAAGGAUUUUAUAUAAAUACAUGGAUAGUAUAAUAUAGUAUAACUAAUCCUCAAAAAUGUUACAUUGCUAUUUUAAAACACAGAAACCAUGCGUUUUUGGCGUUGUAGGCCAGNNNNNNNNNNNNNNNNNNNNNNNNNNNNNNNNNNNNNNNNNNNNNNNNNNNNNNNNNNNNNNNNNNNNNNNNNNNNNNNNNNNNNNNNNNNNNNNNNNNNCUAGCGACGGGCGCGCGCGGGAGACGGUGGCUGCGGCGAGGAACGGCGGCGAGCAAGGCGGCGCGGGGUGCACACGGGAGAACGAGGUCGGAGGGGAUCGGGCAUGGGAAACAGGAUGACGGCGCGGGGGAAAGACGAGGAAGGACCGGGACGAGGGGCUGAGGAGGGUGUCGCUAGGGUUGGACAGGCAGCUGGGCCUUGGGCCGGCUGGGCCGCUCCUCUUCUCCCUCUUGCCUUGGUGUUUUUUCCUAUUUUUAAAGCAGGAAAACUCAAACAAAAAAGGGUUUCAACAACAAUAAAAGAAAUAUUUUUACUCCUUUAAAACAAACCCCAACUAUAAAAUAGAUUGGGCCUCUUUUUUAAAAGAAAUAAAAUGAAACCCUUUUUAAAGAAUAAAAUAAAACCCUUUUAACAAGAGAAUAAAAUAAACUCCUUUUAUCAAUAAAAUGAGACUCUAGUUUUGAAAUAAAACAAAAGAAAAAAUAAAGGAAACCCAAGGGGUUGCCUCCACAUUUAAUAAAAGGGUUUUUAAAAGAAGACGAACCUAUUUAAAAUAGGGGUUAAAACGGAAACUUUAGCAAAACCACAAAAAUGAAAUAUGAGGGAGAGAAGGUUUUAGGUCCGCGGUGCAACAGGAUUUUAGGUGGCUCUCACGCACCCACUCUCAUCACUCCAACAAAACAACGCCACUCACAAAGCACUAACACCCAACAACACGAAGCACAAGCAACACCGAUAAAACACAGUUGACAUGAUGUCAUUCAUGAUGCGAUGAUACAAACUAAAUGAAGAGGCCACAAAAUAAAAUAACCACACGACGAAAACGGAAAUAAAGGGGAAUCUUCUGGGCGUCGGCAUCGGGCUGUCACACCCUUGCAACAGAAACAAGAAAAUCAUUAUGGCUUGCAUUGCACUCCACAAUUUUAUUAGACAAAGUCAAUUCGCCGAUAAAGAUUUCGACUUGUGUGAUCAAGAUGAAAAUUAUGUACCAUUGUCUAUGCCAACGACUACAACAAAUGAUUCAACAAAUGAGAUGGACAGUGCUGCUAUAAAUCAAUUCAGAGCUUGGGUCGCUGAUGGGUUGUGGUCCUUGAAACAACAAUGAUAUGAACAAGUGUUCUUCGCUUAUGUAAUUUGUGUUAUCUCGGUUGUUAUGUACUCUCUCUUAUUUUGAUUUUAUGAACAAGUGUUAAUUCGUUUGUAUGAACAAGUGUUAUUUUGGUUGUCACUAUUGUGUAAUUCGUUUGUAUGAACAAGGGUUAUUUAAACAAGUGUUUUAUUAUUAGGGGUAAUAUGGACUUAUAAGUCCCUGUAAACAAACAGGUAGGGACUCGGGACUUAUAAAUCCCUGUAAACAAACAGGUAGGAAAUCGGGACUUAUAAGUCUGUGUAAACAAACAGGUACAGACUCGGGACUUAUAAGUUGGGACUUAAAAAAGUCCUAUGACUUACGAAACAAAUAGGGCCUUAGCCACACCAGCGCCACACUUACUCACAUUAAGAAAACAUACUCUCUCUGUCUCAAAAUAACUGUCUUAACUUUGUACUAACUCUAAUAUAAAUUUAUACUAAGUUUAAAACACUUAUUUUGAAACGGAGAGAGUAGCUUUUUAACGGGAAAUGACAACUCGCUGUUUAAGGACAUCAGUUCCAACGCAUAUUCUUUGGUACAUGUGUUUCAUUUGACCAAUUAGAAGCUUGUACAUACAAGGGAUGGUCCGUGAAUCGCAGCUCUUCCAUUUUGUUGAACCUGCGCGGUCGUAGUUGGACGGCUUGAAAUUGGAUUGGACACCAUUGCAAACGAACCGUACGUCUUUGGAUGUCUCGAGCACCCUGUUAAUCUCCAUUCAUGGAGUGAAUUGCAAGAAAUCACCACACUUGGGGCAUCCUUUGCGAAAAACAAUGGGGUUCUUAAUAUUUUGCAAAACGCACCGUUGUUUGGAUGAUUAAAACCCGUUUGAUCACUUUCUAACAAGUGGGACCUGGUUGUAAGGAGCUGACUCAGCAAACAAUUAACACAUACACCCCUAUAUCGGAAAAAGAAAAGCAAUCAACCUAUUCACACGUGCCGGCGGAGGCAAGCCGCACGACCCCACCGUCCGGCCUUCGGUGCCGCCGUCCCUCCCGACAAUCAGCAGGCGACUCCCCUACCUCUACUCCGCCCGAUGUCGGCGAGCAGCAGCAGCUCCACCGUGUCUGUCCUGUGUCGUCCGAACCACGAGCAGCAGCAGCUCCACUAGCUAUGGCACGAGUGUACACCGCGUCGCCCUACCCAACCUCCGGCGACGCAACCAUCGGGAGCAACAGCUCUACCGCGUGUGGAGGACGGGGCUGCUUCAUCGGCGUCUAGGUGAGACGUGUGGUGGUCCUCGGUGUGGAUGUGCAACCUCCUAGCGCCGCCCCACACAUGUCCCUCUUCGUCGUCGUUCCUGUUCGUCGAUGCACGACCUCAGCGGCGCCCCAACGGCGCACCUAAGCAUUAACAGGCGAGGUCGGGAUCAGGGUCUCCCUCCUCCCGCAGCCCCGACGAGCGCGGCGGGGCGACUCCCCUAAGGCGUAGGGGCGAGCAGGUGAAGAGAAACAACGGCAAGGCCGACAGAGCUUCGGCAGCACAACGGUAGGGCCGGAGCCAUGAGCUCGUGGCUAGGGCGAGCCACCGGCCAGCUGCGACGGCCAGGGAGGUGGGAGGCCGCACCAUCCCGUUAGCAAGACUAGGGGGAGGGAGAUCAUCUCGCCGGAGGCCACCUCAAGGUGGCCCGCCACCAUCUCGGAGGAGGCAGGCGACGCGGGUGGGAGGGGGCUAGUUGCUUUUUCAUUUUCUGAAUAUGGACGUCUUUGUGAAAUCCAGGGAGUAGUGUAUAUCAUUUUUUAUCAAAUCAUCUCCUUACAAUCUCACCCCACUUCUCAGAAAGUGAUCAACCAGGCUAAAUCACCUGGUUAGUGAAAUUUGCAAAAAAAAUGUUGUGAAUCUACUAUGUGUUUUACAAAAAACGAAGGACCACGUAGUUUUCCACAAACGAAGCCACAAAUGUGGUGGUUUCUCAUGCAAUUCACUCGCAUUGAUGUAUGUGUUCAACACUGAAAUGGUUGAUGCCAAACAAAAUGAUCAGAUUUUAUUAAACUGGAUAGGAUUGAAUCCUCGGCACAAGAACAAUUUCUUGUUUGUGCAUCCCACGGCUAGGAAGGCAGAUGACAGGGUCUAGAACUUAAUUACUCCCUUCCUUCCUAAAUAUAAACAUAAGUCUUUUUAAGGAUUCUAAUAUGGACUACAUAUGAAGUAAAAUGAAUGAAUCUAUAUAUUAAAAUAUGUCAAUAUAAAUUCGUAUGUAGUUUAUACUAAAAAUUUAAAGAAGACUUAUGUUUUUGUAUAUGAAAAAACUUUCGUGUUAAUAGAGAGAAAUUUGACCCGAACAAAUAUAAGUUUUAUUAUUUUUCUAUUUUACGAUUGUGAAAUCUCCCCUAAUAAUAAAGUGCGCAAUGCUUCUGUCGCCCGUCGUCGGUCAUUUUGCAGAAAAGCCCUCACAGUUUCAGUUAAUUAACCCGCAGUCCAACUUUAAGUCAGAACGAACCUAACCGUUUUUUGCAUUUUAUAGAAAACUCCCUGAUGUUUCAGGUAAUCAACCCGCCGUCCCUAUUUAAGUCAACCGAAACUUUUUUGUUUUAACAAAAAAAACCUGACUUUUCAGUUAAUCAAUCCAUAUUUUAUCUAAAACAAAAUUAUCCAUAUCUUUUAAACCGUAACUCCGAUUUUAACAUGUUAUAUAUGAAUUUUGAUUGAAAAAAUGUGUAGAAUCUAAAUAGGAUGUUAUUUUUAGCUGUUAAAUACUUCUUAAAUAUUAUUUUUGAUUCAAACUUAAUCUGUAGUGCACGGUCUUUUUUCUCUCUUUCCGACGACCAUACGAAUUUGCAAUAAAUAUUCAUUAAAUUAAAACCAAAUUGAGAGGAAAGAAAACAUCGUUAAUCACACAUGCACACCUUUGGAAAAUCUCGUGGGAAGAAACAACAUAUUUCUCAUCUUAUUCCGAGUGAUUGUACAUUCAAACGCGUUUUCGUUGUGUGAGCACUGAGGUCAUUGUCGACAACACAAAUGUUAUGCCAUGUGAAAAUAUAUUACGUUUAAAGCGUGUGUUAUUUUCUCUUCCGUUGCAACGCACGAGUUUUUUAUAUUAUAUAACUAUAAAGAUUUGGGAUUUUUGUUGGGAAGUUCCGUGACAAUAUUGUACGUACUAAUUUUCUCUUUGGGCAAGUGGCUCCAUAUCUCUUAAAAACCACGCGGAGAACGAGCAGCGGAUCUUCAGCAGCAAGAUUGUACUUCCACACGUUGGACUUUUCUUUCUCUUGGACUGUUCAUACAGAUACGGAUACGGAUUCUCACUAACUCAUUGGUCUUGGACAGUUCGUACGGAGGAAAAAGUCCAAUUUCAACCUUUAAUAUGUGAACCAUUUUAUAAAAUCUCUCAAAAAUAGAAAACGUGAUUUUUUUCAAAAUCGGAACAUUUUUCAAAUUCGAAAAUAUUUUUGGAUGCGCGAACAUUUUUCUUGUAGUUGUGGAGUGAUGCAUGCAUUUGUUCUUAUAGUUGUGAGUAUAUUAAGACUGUAGCUUAAGCUCUACCUGGUCAGCAUUUUUUAAAUUUGUUAAUAUUUUUCAAAAAUGACGAACCUUUUUUCAAAUAUUUCUUACAGUGUGUUGGGACAAAUCCGGUCAGGCGAUGAACGUCGAAUAGCCUACAGGUACGCAUAAUACACACCAUGACAACCCACACAUACACGUACAUCCACACGUAAUAUACAAUAAAUAUUUCGACUACAUACAAUGAACUCUAUAUAAUAUAAGUGAAAAUAAACAGGAACAAAAAAGAAAAAAGAAAUCAAAAAUAAAAAGUAUAAAAUAUAAAUUGAAACAGAAAUAAAUUCGUGAACUUUUUUCUCACUUUUUUAAUUCCGUAAAUAUUGUGAUGUUCCAUAGCGAGAUGGGCCUGACUGGUCUGGGCCAGUCUUUUUCGCGCGUGCGCAGCUCAAUCCCGGUCAAGUCAGCAAUCCUAGUUUGUCAAAAGAAUCCAGGGUUCUUUUAGACAAGGAUUACAUAGUUUAGGGUGCAAUCGACAGGGAUUUCGAGUUGAAGGUUCAUUUCGUCGAACCUCUACAAAUUCAGGGUUUAAAAUGAACUUUUUCCUUCAUACGGAUACGGAUUCUCACUAACCACAGGCUACAUCGGUACAGCUCCUGGACCGGCUGCUUGUUAAGCUGGGGAUAAUGGGGCGAUCAGAUUGGUGAGAGCAUCUUCAUAUUAUGUUCCCAAAUCUUCCCUCGUUGUCUGCAUGGGGGAAAUAUUAAUACAAGAAACAUUCAAGAAAAAAAUCAACGGAGAAAUAAUAGCUCCUCACUGCGCAGUGCGUACAAAAAAACCAUCCUUGUGCUAAUAAUAUGCCUAUAUAUAGACCGAACUAGCAACGUGCAAGCUCAAAACUAACAGCAAGCAACCAUGGCUUUUUAUGACCAACAAUUCAAGAUUCUCGAGGUACCUCCAAUCGUGCAAGAGCUUGUGGGCGCCGGCGUGAAGGAGCCACCGAGCCAGUACGUGCUUCCCGAGCAAUACCGUCCCGCUGCGGCGGCGGUCUCCGAGAUGCCCGAGCCCAUCCCCAUCAUCGACCUCAGCCGGCUCUCUGCCGGCAGCGCCGAGGAGUUCGACAAGCUGCGGUCCGCGUUGGAGAACUGGAACCUCUUCCUGGUAAUUAAACUUCUUUUCCCAUUUUCAUUUCGGUUGUGUGAUGAAGUGGUCAUCUCGAUCUCAUCUCCGGCCGAUCUUUCUCCAGGCUGUUGGACAUGGAAUGGAGCCUAGCUUUCUUGCCGAGGCGAUGAAGGCCACCAGAGAGUUUUUCAACCUCCCAAUAGAAGAGAAACAAAAGUACUCGAACAUUGUCGACGGCGAGAAGAUGAGCAUGGAUGGAUACGGUAAUGACAUGGUCGUAAAAGAGAAUCAGGUCCUUGACUGGAACGACCGGCUUAAUCUCCUCGUGGAACCUGAAUCCCUAAGAACCUACAGACUCUGGCCAACGCAACCCCUUCUUUCAGGUACUUAUUUACCGUCUAGCUGUAGGUUUUUACAGUCUAUAUACGGUACGCAUGCUGCUGCAGGCUCUGCUAUCAUGCAUGCCCUAUUUUUAAGCUGAUACGUCAGUAGUCUGGCAGUUGAUGAUUACUACUCCACAAUUGUGCAGAGACGUCCUGUCUGAAUACACGGUCAGGUGCAAAGCGGCGACCAACAUUGUCCUUCGAAACAUGGCCAAGAUGCUCAAUUUACAAGAGGAACACCUCGUAAACAUGAUCGGCGACAACUCCAUCACCCUAGCUAUAUUCAACUACUACCCUCAGUGUCCAAGGCCAGACCACGUCUUGGGCCUCAAGGCCCACACCGACGGCUCAAUAAUCACCAUCAACUUCGCCGAUGCCGAGGGGCUCCAGCUUGAGAACAACGGCGUCUGGUACAACGUGCCCAUUGUUCCAAAUGCAUUGGUUAUGAACAUAGGAGAUAUAAUGGAGGUACUUGUGUCUACAGCCAGCUACAUGUAUAAUAGUUUGACCUUGUUUUGUGGAUUGUCAAGCUGAGAUAUAAUACAUCUCUCUAUUUCAUCCUUAUGCAUGCAGAUUUUGAGCAAUGGGGUUUUCAAGAGCCUGGUGCAUAGGGUUGUCACCAACGCGGAGAAAGAGCGCUUGUCGGUGGUGCUGGUUUAUACGUUGGAGCUAGAGACACAACUUGAGCCGGUGUCAGAGCUAGUGGAUGACAAGAGACCUGCACGAUACAUGAAGAUCAAGCUCAACGACUACAUGGAAAAAUUCCUUGACACUUAUGCCACUGGGACACUAGCCAUCGACGGCGUGAAGAUCCGAAUAUGAUUCCGUUGUAUGCAAAAGCUCGCUGAGUAAGAUCUAUGAUGAAGUAUCUUCCGUUGACCAGUUUUAACGAGUUUAUAUUUUCACAUAUUUUCAAGAUUUUGUGUGUGUACUCCUCAUGUAAAAUGUUGGGCAGCUUGUGUGGCCGCAUUAAACCCUAAUAUAAAACGUAUCCGCUGUGGGCAACGUACGGAUGCAAAGGAUGGAAUAAAACUUAUCGAUUGUGUGCAACAUGCGGAUGCAAGGAUAGUUUUUCCUGUUAGUAUGUAUCAUUGAUAAGUACCAUUGUGCCUCCGUUUCAAGAAAUUAAGAGACCAUUGUGCCAUGAAAAAUGUGGGUUAACAGUCAGAAUUUCAUGUGUAUCUUUCCUGAAAAAUAGACACCCACUACUAUAGAGUGUGACAUAAAUAGACACCCACUACUAUAGAGUGUGACAUGUCAAUAGCUUCUCGUCGGUGAUUACGAUGUUAGCAUUAACUAGUCACACUACUAGGAAAAACCUUAUAGGAAGGACAUGAGUAGUAGCGCUAGAAAAAGAAAACGCUGCUGCUAAUUAGCAGUAGCGCUGAGCCAGCUGCAUACACCUUAGCAGUAGCGCUGCUAAUUAAAAAGGCGCUACUACUAUGUGGAACCAGACGAUGCCACUGACGGUAGCUGUAGUAGCAGCGUUGCCCAAAAUCCAGCGCUACUACUAAGUAUUUAGCGGUAGCGCUUUGUUUUGCAGCAUCGCUGCUGCUAGUUGGCUCCACUUAGUCGUAGCGCUCGAUGGUGUGCAGUGCUACUACUAAUAGAAUAGCAGCAGCGCUCUCUGUUAUCCAGCGCUACUGCUAGUUGCGGCUGCCCACCYCCUCCCCCCCCCCUCCCCUCCCCACNNNNNNNNNNNNNNNNNNNNNNNNNNNNNNNNNNNNNNNNNNNNNNNNNNNNNNNNNNNNNNNNNNNNNNNNNNNNNNNNNNNNNNNNNNNNNNNNNNNNAGGCCUCCGGUCCCGGCCCCGCCCUCGCCGGCCACCACCCCGCCUGCCUGUCCCCAGCCACUUCACCGUCGUAGGCCCUGGCAUCUUCCCUGCUUCCCCACCGGUCUCUGCUCCCAGUCGCCCCCGCCGGUCCUGGCCCCAUUGCCCCCGCCGUCCACGGCCUCGUCAUCCCCUGCUGCAGCUCCAGUGAGCACGUGCAUAGUGGAUGGUGGCAAGGCAGCUAGGCAUGCUGGAUCUCGGGCUGCUACACCAACCCUCCUCUCUUGUAAUUUUCUACGAAGCACCGAUACUUCAGAAAUUUGUGUAUCGCCGUUCAGUACUUCACCGAUAUUCCGAUACUUCAGAUACGCCUUCGAUACGGGUAUCCCCGAAGUAUCGUCAUUUCCAAUUUAAAAGAAAUGGCGAUACGCGUAUCCUCAAAGUAUCGCCAUUGUGUAUUGCCCAUGCCUUGAUGUAUCGUUGAUCUGUUCAUAUACAUAGUGCACGUGGAUUGUACUAAUGUAGUAGUUGGAUAAAAGUGCUUGUUAAGAAUGUUACUUGUGCAAUUCAUUAUUUGACCCACUCGUGCAAUCCAAAGUUGCUCUUUAUAUAUGUUUGUCAUUUGACAAUCUCAAGUUUUUAAUUUUAAAAGAUUUAUUAAUUUUAUAUUAUCGUGUUAAUAGAUAUUACAGUCUAAAUUGUAUUGUGACAGUCUAUGAUCAAUUGGUCGUAUUAUUCAUUGAUGAUAGUGAGAUUUUAAAAUGAGAAACAAUAAGGUAUGAAAGUAAUUAGGCAAUCAGUGGAUCGGUAUUUUGUUAUCAUCUCAUACAUUUAUUUAUGUUAGUUUUUAUUGCAUGUUAUUUUAUCAUUAUUUAUAUAUGCCUGCCGUAUCGCCGAAUUACUGUUUUUAGAAAUUGUCAUAUCCCGUAUCGCCGUAUCAGUGUCGCCGUAUUGGUGCUUAGUAGGUAAUUUUUAGAUCAACGUGUCCUGUAGUUUGUUCAUGUGUAAUAAGUUAGUUUUGCCUUGUAUCAGAAAGUGAUGAUGUAAUCGGUGUAAAUAGAGUAAUUUUGUAUUGUGAAAUUUAUUCAUUUGUUGUUGAUUCUUGAACGAAGUGUUGAUCGAUACUAUGUUCUUCUUCGUCGUCAGUUCGUGGCCGCCUCUACAAUUGGUUAUUGGUUCAUAAUGUUCUAAUAAAAAAUACUUUGAUGUCUUAUUCUCUGAGGCUGACUGCAAAGACAAUAUUGAGGCUGAUGACAAAGAGUUGACAUCGUCCGUUAGCGUGCGGUUCUGUUAGACUGCCUUUUUUGUCGUCUACUUUGUAACAAAUGAUGGCAAACCAUUUUCAGCAAAAAAAAUUCGUCUACCCGAUCGAAUACUGACGGCAAAAUACCUCUUUGCGGGUGAUAAGACCUCGAUGACGCCUAGAGGGGGGUGAAUAGGCUAUUUAAAAACUUCUUCGGAUUUGGCUUGAAACUAAUGCGGAAAUAAACUAAGAGGGUACUUGUCAAGCACAAAUCCUAAAUGCACUAGGCACUACAACGUGUAUCAACAACACGAUCUACCAAGAUGGACACAAUACAGUUACUAACAAGCACAAGUAAGUUACACAAACUUACUUGAGCUAUAUCACCCGACAAGUAGGUGAAUAACACAAGAUACUAGAUCACACUAUAUCACACGAUAUAUCAAGGGCUGCAAGUAUGAACGUGUGGAUAUAGAGGGUAUGCUUGAAUGAUUAAUCUUGUACAAGAAAUAGCCCAUACAAUAUAAUGAGCACAAACAAUAUGCAAUGUAUGUAUGCUCAUGUAACACAAGUAAACCACAAGUAAGGAGUUAGGGUUAAGGAUAACCAAGGUCACUGAGACGAAGAUGUAUCCCGAUGUUCACUUCCUUGAAGGGAAGCUAGUCACCGUUAGAGAGGUGGAUGUUACCACGAAGGCACACCAAUGCCACGAAGGCUCACCCUAUUCUCCCUUUGAGAUAACACCACGAAGGCGUUUCUCAACCACUAGUCGUAAGCCUUUGAGGUGGCUUCCAAACCCUCACAAACUUUUUCGGGGAGUAAUCACACGGAUUGAUUCCUCUCCGAAGGACUCCUACCGCCUAGGAGUCUCCAACCUCCAAGAGUAAUAAGAUCACGGGGAAUGCUCAAAACUUGCUCAAAUCUCAAAUAGCUUGGGUUGAGAGGAGGAGAGGGAGACGAUCUAUCUUUUGAUUGGAACAACUCUCAAAGGGGCUCACAAAUGCUCUUGGGAUCUAAGAUUUGGUGUGAGAAAAUGUGUGUGAGGUAGAAGUGUGUUCUUAUGAGGAUAAGGUUGUGUUGGGAUACCCUCUCACGAAGUGGGAGGGGGUAUUUAUAGUGGGGAGAGAAAACAACCGUUGGGGACACUUUAAGUCACAUAGGGUCCGGACGUCCGAUAGUUUCCGGAAGUCUGGGCGACCGCGAGGGGUCGGACGUCCGACAGGGGUCGGUCAUCCGAGGCCUGUAGAUAUCACUGAAAAUACUGUGAAUUGAACAGCGACCGGACGUCCGGAGAAGGCCGGAAAUCCGAGUUAUUCGACUCAACUUCUUCUGGUGCAAGGUUCCGGAUUUUCGAGGCUGGUCGGACGUCCGGCUCUCGGAUGUCCGGAGGGAGCCGGAAAUCCGAGUUAUAUGACUCAAAUACUUCUGUUGGAGGGCUCCGGAUUUCCGAAGCUGGUCGGUCGUCCGACCCUUGACCGGCCCUCGGACGUCCGGAGGGAGCCGGAAGUCCGAGUUAUAUGGCUCAAGUUUCUCUCGUGCAUAGUUCCGGAAUUCCGAAGCUGGUCGGAUAUCCGGGACUCGGACGUCCGGAGGGAGCCGGAAGUCUGAGUUAUAUGGCUCUGAUUUCUUUGGUAUAGGAUUCCGGAUUUCUGAAGCAAUCGGUCGUCCGGCCCUCGGACGUCUGGAGGAAGCCGGAUGUCCGAGGCACUGGUUCUGUUUUCAGAUAACAGCAGAGCAGUGGAGAUGUGGUCUGAGCAAAAUAGUGGAGAUGUAGUUUGAGCAAGUUCAUCGCAAAACCUGUGAUCCCCUCUUAAUAGUGCGGGAUCCCUAAAGACUCAAGAAUCAUAAAAGGGGUACUGAUGACCCAUGCUUGAGUGUAUACUUUUAUUCACUGAUCAUCACUCCGCACAACUAACGUCACAGGAACUGAUACCUUUGGGUUAGCCCUUUCACUUGAGCUUGAUGUUGUUGUUCCUUCUUGGCUCAAGUUGAAAGCAAGACAUGAUAAAUUCUUCAAGUAGCUCUCCCAUACACGAUGUGGAAAGCCUAGCUUAUGUAUUCAUCUUCAUUUGUCCACCAUGUGAACAUCCACAAGAAUCAAGCAUGUAGUGCUCAGGAAUGCUUAUCUUGAUCUUGUCCUUGUUAGCACAUGAGCUUGUCCUUAUCAACACAUGAUCAUNNNNNNNNNNNNNNNNNNNNNNNNNNNNNNNNNNNNNNNNNNNNNNNNNNNNNNNNNNNNNNNNNNNNNNNNNNNNNNNNNNNNNNNNNNNNNNNNNNNNAUGGGAAACAAAAAUUUUCCUACGCGCACGAAGACCUAUCAUGGUGAUGUCCAUCUACGAGAGGGGAUGUGUGAUCUACGUACCCUUGUAGACCGUACAGCAGAAGCGUGAGUGAACAUGGUUGAUGUAGUGGAAAGUCCUCACGUCCCUCGAUCCGCCCCGCGAACCGUCCCGCGAUCAGUCCCACGAUCUAGUGCCGAACGGACAACACCUCCGCGUUCAGCACACGUACAGCUCGACGAUGAUCUCGGCCUUCUUGAUCUAGCAAGAGAGAGGGAAAGGUAGAAGAGUUCUCCGGCAGCGUGACGGCGCUCCGGAGGUUGGUGAUGAUCUUGUCUCAGCAGGGCUCCGCCCGAGCUCCGCAGAAACGCGAUCUAGAGGUAAAACCGUGGAGAUAUGUGGUCGGGCUGCCGUGGCAAAGUUGUCUCAAAUCAGCCCUAAAACCCCACUAUAUAUAGGAGGGAGGGAGGGGAGGAGGCAGCCUCAAAACCUAAAGGUUUGGCCGAAAUUGGAGGUGGAGGAGUCCUACUCCAAUCCUACUUGGAGUAGGAUUCCACCUUCCCACUUGGAAACUCUUUCCACCUUGUGUUUUUCCUUCUCAAACCUUAUGGGCCUUAGUGGGAACUUAUUCCAGCCCACUAGGGGCUGGUUUAUCUCUUCCCAUAGCCCAUGAGACCCCUUGGGGCGUGACACCCCUCCUGAUGGUCCCCGGCACCCCUCCGGCACUCCCAGUAUACUACCGAUGAGCCCGAAACUUUUCCGGUAAUGCACGAAAACCUUCCGGUAACCAAAUGAGGUCAUCCUAUAUAUCAAUCUUCGUUUCCGGACCAUUCCGGAAACCCUCGUGACCUCCGUGAUCUCAUCCGGGACUCCGAACAACAUUUGGUAACCAACCAUACAACUCAAAUACGCAUAAAAAACGUCGAACCUUAAGUGUGCAGACCCUGCGGGUUCGAGAACUAUGUAGACAUGACCCGAGAGACUCCUCGGUCAAUAUCCAAUAGCAGGACCUGGAUGCCCAUAUUGGAUCCUACAUAUUCUACGAAGAUCUUAUCGUUUGAACCUCAGUACCAAGGAUUCAUAUAAUCCCGUAUGUCAUUCCCUUUGUCCUUCGAUAUGUUACUUGCCCGAGAUUCGAUCGUCAGUAUCCGCAUACCUAUUUCAAUCUCGUUUACCGGCAAGUCUCUUUACUCGUUCCGUAAUACAAGAUCCCGUAACUUACACUAAGUCACAUUGCUUGCAAGGCUUGUGUGUGAUGUUGUAUUACCGAGUGGGCCCCGAGAUACCUCUCCGUCACACGGAGUGACAAAUCCCAGUCUCGAUCCAUACUAACUCAACGAACACCUUCGGAGAUACCUGUAGAGCAUCUUUAUAGUCACCCAGUUACGUUGCGACAUUUGAUACACACAAAGCAUUCCUCCGGUGUCCGUGAGUUAUAUGAUCUCAUGGUCAUAGGAACAAAUACUUGACACGCAGAAAACAGUAGCAACAAAAUGACACGAUCAACAUGCUACGUCUAUUAGUUUGGGUCUAGUCCAUCACAUGAUUCUCCUAAUGAUGUGAUCCCGUUAUCAAGUGACAACACUUGCCUAUGGCCAGGAAACCUUGACCAUCUUUGAUCAACGAGCUAGUCAACUAGAGGCUUACUAGGGACAGUGUUUUGUCUAUGUAUCCACACAAGUAUUGUGUUUCCUAUCAAUACAAUUAUAGCAUGGAUAAUAAACGAUUAUCAUGAACUAAGAAAUAUAAUAGUAACUAAUUUAUUAUUGCCUCUAGGGCAUAUUUCCAACAGCCAGGCCCGUCGACUGUCGAGUACAACGUCCAGCGCCUCCCGGAAGAUCAGGUGGGAGCUGCCUAGGGGGCCAUGGUGCAGGCGGAGCUGAUGGCGGGAGAGGCCAAGAAAGCGUACGACUCCAUCGCGUCCGUGUACAAGCGAAGCUUGGAACUACGGGACGAUAUCCCAGUAAGUGGGCUAGUAAGUAUUUACCUUCCUCUUGUAACCCAGUGGGUGUUUGAGCAAUGCACUCGGAUAUUGUAUGAUUAUUUUGCAGUGGGUUCACUCUUAGUGAACCCACUGGGUGUACUCCCCGAGACCGCUGUCGACUGCUUGUGUCGGCAGGGGUCUGAAGAACUUAGAAAUUUUAUUGUUGUCCUUGUUGAAUUUGUCUGAUCGUCUCUUGGCGCUGACUUGUAGAAAACUUGCGAGAUGGGAGCAGCGUACGAGACUCUGAGGGCUGAAAAGGUUCAGUUUGCUGGGGAACUGGAUGCAGCAAUGGUUGCCUUGGCUGGUAUGAAGGAUGUUCUGGCUGAACGAGAAAAGUCCUUGGAGGAGGCCCGUGAGGCAAACAAGGCAUUGGCGGCUGAAGUGGAAAAAUGGGGAAACAAAGGACCGAGCUGAUGGGACAGAUGAAAGUGUUGAACAGGCGGUGCAUAGCACAGGAAAAUUACGUUAGUGACUGGGCCCGGAAGAUGAUAGCGCUUCUCGGUGGUAAGUUCUGUUUUUCCGAGUGCUUGUGGACUGUGCAUUUCAUUCUGUGCUUACUGUUUGCUCGCCCUGUCUUUGCAGAUUUUUGAAUGGACGUUGAGGCUGAGGCAGCUGACGUUGAGCGGUCGAUUCUUCUGAACGUUCCACUCGGCGAGGACGCCAAUCAAGAUAUGCUCCGAGCGCACAUUCGCGUGGGCAAGGUGGGGCCUUUCAUCGGUCGACUGAGAGAGGUCGUCAGCUGAAUCGACAAGGAGCUUUGGCCAGAAGACGAGUCUCGGCAGGAGAUGGAAGGCUUGAUGACUCGGCUAGAGGAGGUCCCGAACCGAGUGCAGGCGUGAAAGAAGUCUGCGGCUCGCUGUGGUGCGGACAUCGCUCUGUCGCUGGUGCGAGUGCACUGCAAGGAGGCUCGCGAAGAGAAGCUGAAGGCGUUGCAGGUCGCCAACACGAAAAGCUUCGAUUCGAAGACUUCAUGGAGACCUUCCUUGAGAGCGCCACUCGCAUCGUCGACGGGAUCAACCUUGACACAUUCAUGGAGCCUGCCAGUCCUAGUGCCAGUCCUGACGACGUUUAAGAAAACUUUUACCUCGGUAUGCCGAGUGUUGGUUGUAAGAAACUUUGGCCACUGCUGUUGGCCGUCACAUUCGUGGUUUGGUGUGGAUAAGCUUGAUCUACACCGAGCCAACUAUCCUUAGGCGAACUUUGAAUUUGAAUCGAAUCUUUGUCUCUUCUUUUGCCAAAGAGUUGUUGAUACGAUUUUGGCUCGUGGUUUUGUUUGGCGUUUCUUGGUGAAACCAAUGGCAAACAUGUGGAGCAUGUAAUUGUCAGUUGUCUUGACAUCUGCAUGAGCCUCACUGAGGGUCUGCUGAGUCUCCGAGUGGAUCUGUAAGAUACACUCGAAGGCAAUUGAGUGCUUAGGCGAUUCGUGAUCGCGGCUAAGUCUUCGUGUGCGACUGUAAGGUCGUACUCGGAGCGAGUUGUUACUCAUGUAAUUGUCAGUGGUCUUGACAUCUACAUGAGCCUCAAUGAGGUUCUGCUACUCAUGUAAUUGGCAGUGGUCUUGACAUCUACAUGAGCCUGAAUGAGGGUCUGCUAAGCCUCCGAGAGGAUCUGUGAGAUACACUCGAAGGAAGCUUUCUAUUUAAGCGAUUCUUGAUCGCAGACAAGUCUUCGAGUGCGACGUUAAGUGCACACUCGGAGAAGGUGUGAAGUUAGGCGAUUCGUGAUCGCAGCUAAGUUUCCGUGAGUGCGAUGGUUAGUGCACACUCGGAGAAAGCUAAUACUUAGGCGAUUCUGGAUCGCAGCUAAGUUCCCGAGUGCGGACGUUAAGUKCACACUCAAGAAGUUAGUACUUAGGCGAUUCUGGAUCGCAGCGUCGCUAGNNNNNNNNNNNNNNNNNNNNNNNNNNNNNNNNNNNNNNNNNNNNNNNNNNNNNNNNNNNNNNNNNNNNNNNNNNNNNNNNNNNNNNNNNNNNNNNNNNNNGUCUUGGGACUUAAGGCCCAUACAGAUGGCUCGAUAAUCACAGUCAACUUCGCCGAUGCCGAGGGGCUCCAGCUUGAGAGAAACGGCGUGUGGUACAACGUGCCCAUUGUUCCAAAUGCAUUGGUUAUGAACAUAGGAGAUAUAAUGGAGGUACUGUGUCUACAGCCAGCUACAUGUAUAAUUGUUUGACCAUGUUCUGUGGAUUGUUAAGCUCAGAUUUAAUACAUCUCUCUAUUUUAUCCUUAUGCAUGCAGAUUUUGAGCAAUGGGUUUUCAAGAGCCUGGUGCAUAGGGUUGUCACCAACGCGGAGAAAGAGCGCUUGUCGUUGGUGCUGGUCUAUACGUUGGAGCUAGAGACACAACUUGAGCCGGUGUCAGAGCUGGUGGAUGACAAGAGACCUGCCCGAUACAUGAAGAUCAAGCUCAACGACUACAUGGAAAAUACCAUGACACUUAUGCCACUGGGACACUAGCCAUAGACGGCGUGAAGAUCUGAAUAUGAUUCCGAUGUAUGCAAGCUCGCUGAGUAAGAUCUAUGGUGAAGUAUCUUCCGUUGACCAGUUUGUAACGAGUUUACGUUUUUACCUAUUUCCCAGAUUUUUGUGUGUGUACUCCUCAUGUAAAAUGUUGGGCAGCUUGUGUGGUCGCAUUAAACCCUAAUAUAAAACUUAUCCGAUGUGSGCARCAUACGGAUGUAAAGGAUGGAAUAAAACUUAUCGAUUGUGUGCAACAUGGG